rnacentral:lncRNA from 1 species
UAAUAGUAUUGUUUACACAAACAAAUCAAAUAGCACAUUUUAUGAAAACUACAAAGAGAUAAUAAAGCUUGGGAUGGGCAAAGCUAAAUACAAAUAGAGGAGUUAUGAAAGAGUAUAAAGCUGUGAUAAGCUUAAUGUACUGAUUCAUUCAUCUACAAGUUAGAUAUUACUCAAGCAGAUAUAGAUUACUCAAGCAGAUAUUACUUCCUCAGAUUGGAGGUUAGACUUGUUAGGAAAUUGCCAUUAUUGUGGCAAAUGCCCCACCCACCACUAAGCAAGUGGAAUAUUUAGUGCCACCAUUUGUGCCUUAUUUUGUGGCUUUAUUGUCCCCUCCAUGUUGACAUUUGUGUGCUGGAGGAGCUCACCAUGAAAUGCCUAUAAAGGAGGCAUAUUUGUUGAGAGCAAAAUGAGAUGGUUGCAAGUGAGAGAGAACGUGAGUGUGUGUAAGAGAGUGAAGAGAAAGAGAGCUGCAAUGGCAGCAGCCUUGCUGCCAUUGCAGCAGCUGCAAGUGCAGCAAGAGAGUUGAUGAGUUGAGUUGAGUGGAUGUAAUCCUCCUCCUCUACAUGUAUUUUUGUAUCCUUUCUCUAAUCUCUAAUAAUAUAGACUCUCUCCCGUGGAUGUAGGCGAUUUGCCGAACCACGUUAAAUAUUGUGUCAGUGCGCAUUACCCUCCGAUGAGCAACUAUCAGUACACCCCCGGUCCGCGUAUGGGGGUGCCGGAAUCCGCAACAAUUGGUAUCAGAGCUGAUGGUUUAAAGGGGUGUUUGAUUUUUGCUCAGAAAUGAAAGUUGUCAAAAUUGUGUUUUGACCAUACCACUGUGUAGAGGAGGCCGAGACGAAGCCACUGGUGAAAACGGCGUCAAAAUCGGACGUCGGACAUGGCCGCACUCUCCAUCACUCUCCGGCAAGGCGUCUGCCCACGCGCGCAGACGCGCCCACGCGUCUUCUUCGCCCGGAUGAGUUGACCCGACCCGAAUACCAGUUGACUCGACCCAUGUGACUGACCCGGAUAUGAAUGACAUCAGCAUGACGUAAAAGUGACGUCAGCGUGAAUAGUAGACAUGCCAGGGAUGACAUUAGCAUGAUGUAACUGUGACAUCAUCAUGUACAGCAGCAUGGCCCAUAAUGACAUCAGCAUGAUGUAAUGAAGAUGUCAGUAUGCACAGUCAGCAUGACAUGCCAGCGUCCAGUCAGCAGACACGUCAGCAAAGUGGGACCCACAUGCCACGUCACCAUCCUCGAGCCGAGCGGAGCCGAGCCGAGUUGAGCCGAGCCGUUUUGUAGCCGAGCCGCGAGCCGAGGGAUAAGAUUCUGUGCAGCAGAGUCUAUGUGAAACCGGAUCUGAGAUUGAAUCUGGGCCGUUCAUCAGGCCAGAAUUGUUUUGAUCAAAUCGUAGCCGUCUGAAAUGCGAUUUGGACGAUUUCAGACUUGUUUCCAGCUAAUUUGAUCAUUCCGGAUGCAAUGGUACGGUCCGAUCAUUGAGAUUUGAGACCAAAAAUGGCGGUGGUGAAUUAACAAAAGAGAUUGCCCGAUCAGGAGGCAUCUGAAGGUCAUCAUGGUGGUCGACGGAGAUGAAGAAGAAGAAGGUGCACAUGUUUACCCAAUUACAUGUGCUGAACUGCUAAGUGGGGAGAAUUUUUCAGUUGCCUUGAAGGAAGGCAAAAUUGGGACACUCUGGACACCCGAUUAUGUGGACAAUUUGAGGUGUAGAGUGGAAACUGAUGAAGACCAAUCUUGACGAAUCUAAGCACUGGUAGUCUCGCCAGAUGUUGAGAAAUGAUGUAUUAAACCAGUAUAUUCCAGAUCACUUGUAAAGGAAAGCCGCAACAAAGCUAGCAAAUGGUUGUAUAUACGGAAAGACAGUACGAUGGAUAGAUAUGGCCUAAGAAGUUCUGUCUAGGAGAUUGAGUUUUAAGCGGGACCAGUGUGACCCCUCCAAUCUUUCCUGGGAACUUGCUUAGUGGAAGGAUUAUCCAUACGGUACUAUUUUCGUAUAUAUAGCAGUUUGUAAUGAAACGGUUGAAGACUAGCAGGACGACGGCACAAGGGAACAGUUGGGUUCCGUAUGAUCAAGGAUCUGAUGAAGUGGUGAUUUCUCCAAAGAAGUUAGAUUCGGUGACUGUGAUUUCUCGAUGGGAGAAUUGAUGAAGACCCUGAUAAUGGAAGAGGAAUGCAGCAAGGGGAUAAAGAUUGGCACCCUAUUUUGACUUGGACAGGUGUUAUGACAGGAUGAGCUGCUGUCAAACAUAAGCAAGGAAUAGGGGAAAAUCUGGAGAACAGAAAUUGCACGAGAGCACACGGAGAUUGUGCAGGAGUACACAUAGGAUCCAACGAGGUACUGUAAUGAGACAACAGGUGCAAGGAGAAGAAGUGUUUCCAGAUGAAGCUCAGAGCAGAGACUGUUAAAGUUUGUAUAACAGGAAGUCUCUUAUGCUCUUGAUAAAGACAACAGGCGAAGACCUUUCCAAUGCAUGCAAGGAUGGAAAGAGAGCUGUUGCAGAGGCACCUAAUUGAGGGGGUGCAAAUGCCUGUGAUACAAGGCAACCGCCUAUGAUGAAAGGCGAAGACACCAAAGAGAAUUGGUGUAGGUGGAGCUGUCAAGCAGAAAGGCACAGAAGCUCCAAACAUAGAAAUUGAGGUGGAGGAUUGCGAGAAGUAUACCGCAACUUUCUCUUUCUAUGUAGUCAGUGGCAGUAAUCUCUCCCAUAGUGCACAUGGUGGUAGAGAAUUUUGGAGCCACUUUAAAGCAUCUCAGCUGAAGGAGGAUGCGACCGCCCCAUGACAACGGGCGAAGAUACCUUAGAGAAUGUGUGAGGGCCAUUAGAGGAGCCCCAAUUCAGACCGCCGCAUGACGACGAGCGGAGACACCUGAGGAAAAGGUGUGUGGGCCAUGAUAUGAGCCCAGGUCAGAACGCCCCAAAGCCGAUGUGAUGGCUAGAUACAAGUGGACAGGUGUAUGGAUAGCCAAUGAAGUGGUUAUGAUGAGUAUGGAGACAAAUGCAGGAUUGACUUUCAUGGAUAUUGCCCCCAUGCUAAAGAUCAAUGAGCUAGAAGACAUUUGCCUUGGACAAUAAGUGUGUGACUUGUGGAGCAUUAAGACGCGGCUGCUAUGAAGAAGCAGAAGGGCAUGCGCAGGUUCCGAGAACGAGUUGACUCUUGUCAAGGUGGUGAGCUCGGUAAUGGCAUUGUAAUACUCAGAGUAUGAAGACAGAUAUGGAUCAACCUUUAAUGGGCUGCCCCCAUGGUUAAAGGUAGAGAGCUACCUGGACUCUUACGACUAAGAGCGAGAGACUCACGGAGAAGUAAGGCGUGGUUCCUAGGGUGGAACAGAGGGCAGGCGCAACUCCUGGAUGAGUAGACUCUUGGAAGAGUGGUGAGCUUGUGAUCACAUUGAAAUACUCAAUGACUGUCGCUGUUGCGAUGUCGCGGUCGCACAAAUUAAUUACCCUAGCUUAAAACACACAAGAUAGUAUAGAGCAAGCAAGGGGUCGAUCCCACGAGGAAGGUUUAGUUCAGAUUUUUAUGCUAUACGUUAUGUAAUUGGGGGGGUUUGAUUUGCAAUGAUCUUAAACUAUGGUAGAAAUUAAACUAACAAACAAAAUCAAUUAAAACUGAAAUAUAUCAAGAAAACAAACCUUGGUUGCAAGCACACAUCCACCUACAGAAAUCAGAACCGAUCCUUGAAACGAAACUUCAGCUUAUAUUCUGAAUUUUUAUCUUUUCUUAACAUUGGUUAAUUAACGGAUCCGCCGUAUAACUAACCCUAACCAACAAAUAAUCACAGUGUCCGCACUAAUGAUUUAAUCCAAUGGCAGCCUUAAGAUCUAGAUAAAUUCAUUAAUCUUAACAACCAAGUUGUCAGCUUGUGUUGCUUUGAUCGAAUGUUCUCCCUAAGUUUAAUAACGUAGUUCCGCUACAAUUAUCAAGCUUAGUUGCUUCACAAGUUUAUAUAUCACAACUCCGGUUUUGAUAUCAAACUUAGCAAUAGAUUGUUCACAAUAAUAACUUAGAGUCCGCUCUUAGCAAUUAAGAUAAACAAUCAUAUGAAAUAUGCAUAGGAAAACAAACAUACUCAUUCAUAAUACAAACCAAAAAUAAAUAGAAGAAUAAAUCUCACAGUUCUUGAAAUCUGAAGGUGUUUGCGUCCUUACAACCAAGAAAACGAGCUUAGCCUUGCAUAUCUAUUGAAAAACUACUCCUAAAGAUGAAAGAAUACAUGAUUUCUGAUUUGUAGAGGGGAGAGUUUGUGUUUCUUCUCUUAUGGCUGCCACCCUUCUUUCUUUGAUUCUACUGCACUCCCUCUCCCUCUCUCUUGGCUCCCUUAAUAUCAUGAACUUAGCUGCCUAUUUAUACACAAAUUGCAAGUAAGAAAAAUCAAAGUUCAAGUGUGAACAUCAAGAGAUGGUGGUAGUGUGAAGGCGGCUGGCGGCUGGCGGCUGGUGGCUGGUGGCUGGCAGCUGGUUGGUGGUUUGAGGUUGGUGGCUUGAGGUUGGUGGCUGCCUUCCUUGACCUUCUGGAUUGAUGUUCUUGAGGAGCUAAAUUGCUGAAAUUAAAACUUGGAUGUCGGUUUUGAUGCUUCGGGAUGUAAUUUGGAUUUGUUUCUUCACGAAACCUGAUUGCUGGCAGAAUUUAGCUGUCAUCUUUGAAAAAUCAUAUCACCCUCAUAUGACAUCGUUUUUGGCUGAAAUUUGGAGCGUUUAUACAACUUUGAGUCAGGAAUCCAAAACAAUUGAGUUUGCAUCAAUUGGAUAUCAACAUCUUCAGAUAUUGAAUUUUGAAUGGACAAAGGUCAACACUGGCAGAAUGCGAGUUUUGACUUUGAAGGAUGUGAUUUCCAUACUCUUUGUCAUUUUAUUUUUCUUCACUUAGAUUUCCAGAAAGGUAUGGAUGUUAUCUUUCUAAUGCCACUGGAAUCACUUCGUUUCGAUUUUUAGAACUCACGCUCUGCACAAAACAUCGACUGAACAUCAAAUCUGCCAAUUAUCUCCAAUUUACUCCUUUUUGCAUCUUUCAUCUAAAGGUGCCUUCAAAACAUAAAACAAAGAAUAUCAAGGCAUUUUAUACAUAAAACAAUAGGCAAAACACUAGUUAAAUGUGAGUGAAACUAUCGAAUAAUAUGGUUACAUCAGUCGCACUUGGAAAUAUUUGUUUGAGGGGGUGUUGGAAGCCUUGGUGUAAGGCUUGAAAAAUCAUUCUGGACCGAGCAUGGUUGAUACGCUCGAAGGGGAAUGUUGUGUUGAAGACGCUCUCAAAAUGGAAACUUGGAAGAACUGCAGAUUGCAAGCUUGUGCUGAAGAAGCAAAAAGGACAAUUGCCCACAUAAAUGGCAAAGGGGGUGAUUGUUAGGAAAUUGCCAUUAUUGUGGCAAAUGCCCCACCCACCACUAAGCAAGUGGAAUAUUUAGUGCCACCAUUUGUGCCUUAUUUUGUGGCUUUAUUGUCCCCUCCAUGUUGACAUUUGUGUGCUGGAGGAGCUCACCAUGAAAUGCCUAUAAAGGAGGCAUAUUUGUUGAGAGCAAAAUGAGAUGGUUGCAAGUGAGAGAGAACGUGAGUGUGUGUAAGAGAGUGAAGAGAAAGAGAGCUGCAAUGGCAGCAGCCUUGCUGCCAUUGCAGCAGCUGCAAGUGCAGCAAGAGAGUUGAUGAGUUGAGUUGAGUGGAUGUAAUCCUCCUCCUCUACAUGUAUUUUUGUAUCCUUUCUCUAAUCUCUAAUAAUAUAGACUCUCUCCCGUGGAUGUAGGCGAUUUGCCGAACCACGUUAAAUAUUGUGUCAGUGCGCAUUACCCUCCGAUGAGCAACUAUCAGUACACCCCCGGUCCGCGUAUGGGGGUGCCGGAAUCCGCAACAAGACUCCCAAGUUUUUAUGAGUUCAACUGGAAUUUGUACCAAAAUAUAAAUAAAAAUUCAGUAAGAAGAUAGUACAGAAAGCCACAUGUUACAGAACGGCAGAACGAAUAUACAGCCCGAAUUAACAUUAUGCUGCUUAAAGGUGCAUGUGGAGAUAGGUGAUUAGAAAAUAAGAAGUGAUAAUUUAUAGAGAAACUUUCUUGAGUUUAAGAGAAAAGAAAACAAAUGAUUGAUAUGCCGAUAGCAUUCAACACGCAGAUGGCUGUAAUCUGUCAAGUUAAUAUAAAAGCUCAUUCAAAGCAAGAUGAUGGAAAGAGUUUGUGCUUUGAAUGAGCUUAGGAAUGUAUAUGUCAUAGUUUAGGGAGAGCAGAUUUAGACUAGGAAAGGAGGCAGAGAACCAUACAGUGUUGUCAAAGACUGCAAGGUUGAAAACCAUGGAGGAAAAUCUGUAGCGCCGAAAGUAUUAUUGCUCAUGUCCCUGCAAACAACAUUUUCCUCAAAAUACACACAGAAAAAAGUAGAGCUAGAAUUCAUCUCAACAAUUGAUUAUAUGUACGUCUAAACCAUGUAAAAUCUUACAAGUAGGUGAGAUGAUCCAUGCCAGUAAGGUUGGGAAGUGGCCCAGUUAAGCCAUUGUUGGAUAAAAACCUGAAAAUUGGUCACCAAGCAACACACUUAACAUAGAAAAAACUCCCAGAAGAGAUAGUAAUGACUUCAACAAAACCAGUUGUAAUGGAAGGUCUCUCCCCUCCAUACUUACAUCUCACUGACACUGGUAAGAUUAUUGAUGUUUGUUGGAACAGGUCCAGUGAGCGAAUUAUUAUCAAGACGCCUGUAACCAACAUUGCAUGUUCAAUUACAACAUUAAGCAUCAAGAAUCUCAGUACAAAAUGACUUGAGUCUCCAAUAUCGAUACUUACACAACCUCCAAAGACUUCACAAGGCCAAGGGUGGAAGGAAUGCUGCCUGUCAGAUUGUUGCUCUCAAGAAGUCUGCCGAAAGAAAGACAAAGAAACCAAAAGAAUCAAUCAAAGAAAUGCUUAAACGGGCAGAUAUCUGUGAUUAUGAAUUAUGCAAUUCCAAAAGAUUCAAACAAAAGUGAAGCAAUCUUAAAAAUUCGAGAAACGAAUAAUGAUCUCAUAUCCAAUCUAUAAAGUAGUUAUUUAGCAUCAUCCAGCAUUUGAACUGAAUGGAACUUACACAUGUAUGAGAUUCAUCCCUGAGCUAAAAAGUUUAGGCGGGAUUUGGCCUGAGAGCUGAUUAAAUCCAAGAUGACUGUAAAUAGGUUUAAGAGGAACAUUAACACAUAGAAAACAGAAUCGUUAAUUUAUAGGUAGAAAGAAGCAAUGAGAUGGAUAGAACAAGGAGAAUUGACAUACAAGUGUUUUGUAUGAACUAGUAGGUCAAGGCCAGGAGUAGUGCCUGUAGAAACUGGGAUGGUCCCANNNNNNNNNNNNNNNNNNNNNNNNNNNNNNNNNNNNNNNNNNNNNNNNNNNNNNNNNNNNNNNNNNNNNNNNNNNNNNNNNNNNNNNNNNNNNNNNNNNNCGAAUUGAGAGAUCUGCAGGUAAUACCAGUGAAUUGAUCCACUGAAGCGAUUCGAAUUGAGAGAUCUGCAGGUAAUAUGAUGAAAGAAUAUUACAAUAGGUGCCACGGGCAUAAACUGAACUUCAAAUCAUGAACAGUAGUUGAUUCACUGAUGUUGCGGUAAAGCAUGGAAAGUAUUACAAGUUGAAAAAUACUUACAGAUCGGUUAGCUGUGACAAAGAUCCUAUUGCAUCGGGGAUAGGACCAGAGAAACGACAGCGAACCAGUAUUCUAGAAUGGAAGGGAAAAUCAGGACUGAAACCAGGAAAGAAAUUGAGCAUCAGAUAACAUUAUAGCGCAAUAGAGUAUCCCCUUACAAGUUUGUUAGCUUCUUCAAAUCCCCAAUUGCUAGAGGAAGAGAGCCAGUCAAUUCUGUGUUGUAGGAUAAAUCCCUGUAUAAAGAUGCAAUGAUUAGAAAUGUAUCAUAGCAAUCCUUUCCAAGGAAAUCAAUCCCUUUUUUCUGUCAUUUAAUCGCUAUAUCUGAAAUCAAUCCCUUGGCAACAGCUAUUCUAAGCGAUGCGCUUCUCGAAUACAAAAAGAAGCUCUAUACGCGAGUGAGGCAUGAGCCUAAUCAGUACUUAACGCAUAGCAUCAACCUUUAGAACAAUAAUCCAAGAACAUUAGUUGUAAAUUGGAUGCUUCGAUCCUUUUCAUAGCAUAAAGAAAAAAAGGUAAUAGUGCACAGAGUGAAGACAUACAGAAUCUGCAAUUCUGACAAGAGUGAGAUGUCUCCAGACAGUGUUCCUUUCAAUCCCAUGCUUGCCAAUGUUCUGCAGAUGAGAAUAGUCAGGUUAAUCUAAAAAAGUAGAGGAAGGAAUGAUCUGCAAGCCUCUAUAAGCUGUACAAGAUGAAAUAAAGCCAAUGACUUACAUGGAAGUCACACGCGAAUUGGUGCACACAAUGCCAUCCCACCUGCUACCACAAGGGUCAGCCCCCACCCAUGUUGGUGGUACGUUAUCCCAGACAUCCUUGAGAGCUUUCAGUGCAUUAACUGCAUCAGGAAUCAAAAGAAUAUACAUAUAUUGAGGGUCUAUAUAUAGAAAGCUAAUAACAAAUUUACAAUAACUAGUCUUAUUCCCCAGAUUGAACGAGCCUAAUGGACAAUUCUGGGGCCUAGCUAGCAUCACCAGUUCCAACAAUCAUCAUAUAAGAACAGGAAAAGGCAUCCAAUGAAGGCUGGAUACACUUCUGAGUUUGACAAAGUAUCUCCCAGCUCCAGCUUCUACUUUACAACCAGAAUUACAGAAUCAAAACCAAGUAAAUCAUAAGCCAGAAAUGAUUCCCUGACUCUUGGAAUUGCAAAAGCAAGUGGAAUCUGGAGUCCUAAAUCUACAGUUCAUCUUAGUAUAUGUUAGACAAGAGGUCAUUAGACAGUUGAUACUAAUUUGGAUCAAAAGAGUGCUAAAACAACAUGCAUGUUCCAAGUAAUUUACCAAAAACAAGAAAAAACUAACUGUAAAGAACUUACAAUCAUCAUUGUUAGUCACUGCUGGUGUGGUGGUACAAACUUGAAUUAGAGCAACAACCAAGAACACAAGAAUUCUUGAACCCAUUUCUCAAGUAACCCUACAGGAAGCUCUUUGUUUUCAGUUGGUAAAGUCGAAAAACUGAAAUCCCAUUUAGUAUCAGCAGUUAAAUCUCACACAUGAAGGUCUUCAAUUCAAACUGUUGAAAACUUGGUCUUCUAUUUUUCCAAAUUAUACCACGUCAAAACUCACAAAAAAAAAAAAAAUUGUCUCAAGUUGAAUCAUCUCCACACGCUCUAUUAUACCAUGUCAAGAGGAUUUGUCUUCAAGUUGAGUUGCACAAUUUUUUCGAUUUCUCAUAUCAUGAUCACGAGUUUAAAGAAAAAAAUACACAAUACAAUAGAAUUCUCACCAAACACCUUCAUUGAAUUAAUAAUGAAAGGGGACCAUCCAGCAACCAGCAAAAACGUGAGAACUUGGGGACACAUUUCUCAACAAAAUUUCAAAGCCCUUUGUUAUGAAUGUUGCAUAACUCCAAAACCCUUUAAUAGCUCUUAAAAUGAUAAAACAUAGUGGGAACAUCUUUACAUGUCCCCAUCGUUUACUUAUCUCAAGAUUUAUAUCGUGGAAGGACAUGAAUGGGACAAUUGUGUUCGUAUGAAUCACAUACUAAAUACAAAGACAAUUGACCCCAUCUUUAGUCAUUUUCAAGUUUACAGUCAAUAGAAGAACCCACCAAAUGGUUUCUUGCAUAUAGCACUGUAGAGUGAUACUUGCAGAGUGAAUAGUAUUUCCCACCAAAUGGUCAUGAUUGUCUGCUAAAGUCAUUUUUGAAGCGAUCAAUACAAAAAGUUAUCAUCAAUUGUUAAUGAGAUUUGUAGAUGAUUUUACUAACUCUACUAACUAGACAAGUAGAAAGAAAUGCUCUUUGAUUUAGUUUUGUUAUUGUUUUAUAUUUCCAGUUUAAUUUGGAUUUAAUGUUUUUUUUUUUAUCGUAUUUGAUUUAAGAUUUUGAUUAUUUUUUUAUACGAUUUAGCAAGGUGAUAGCGCAGGAGCUCUGAUUCUCAUACGGGUAUUAAUUAAAGUUCACUAAUCUCAAAUAAUUUUCUUCUUAAUUAAGAAAAGAGAAACCGUAAAAGAAGGGAAAGAAAUAGUUGUUUGCUAGUCAUUUAAAUUGACAGAAAUAAAUUUUGGUCAGUCAAGAGAAUAGAGCCAAAGAAAAUUCAACAAAAUAUUCGAACUCACUCGUGGAAAGAAUGCUUGCUUCGGUCCCGCGCUGAUUUGCUUGACCAAUCAUCAGAUUUGCUUAUUACUUGACUUGCUGCUGCCAUUGUUAUAUAUUAACAAGCAAAUGAUUCAUGAAGAUAUCAGAAUUUCUUCCAAACGAAUCAUUCCUUCUAAUUGCAAACACAUGGAUGGGUCCCCUCCUCUCCAUGAAUGCUUACAACAAAUCAUUCUCUUCGACUUGACAUUGCCUGACCUAAUCUUGAUCCCUGGGGAAGACUGUUGGUGGAAGAAACCACUAGUGGUGGCUUUGAAACACUCAGAGGGGAUAAAACACACUGUUUUAUUUCAACAACAACAAACUUACAAUAACUAAACAAAAGCUCAAUACACGCCCUCUCUUUCUUUCUAGUGUUUCUCUCUAAUCUCACCACACAUAAUAACAUAAACUUAGCUGCCUAUUUAUACACAAAUUGAAAGUAAGAAAAAAUCAAAUUUUAAGUGUGAAGGCGGCUGGCGGCAUACAGCUGGUGGCUGGCGGCUGCAAGUGGUGGUUAGGGGUGACAACUGGUGGCUGCAAGUGGUGGUUGUCUUCCUUGACCUUCUAGAUUGAGUUUACUUCAACAAAUUCCCCCUUUAAACUCAAUCGAGGGAUGUCAUGCCAAGCAUGAACUUCAAUCUGAUAAAUAUUUCUCCCUUCAAUGGCUUUGUAAAGAUAUCUGUAAUUUGAUCAUUUGUCUUGCAUGAUUCAGUUCAACUUCUUUGUUCUUCACAUGUUCUCGGAUAAAGUGAUGACGUAUAUCAAUGUGUUUAUUUCUUUCAUGAUACACCGGGUUCUUUGCUAAUGCAAUCGCUGAUCGAUUAUCAAUAUAAAUCUCUGUAGGAUUUUCUUGAGGAAAUCCCAAAUGCUUCAGCAUAUUUCUUAACCAUAUUAAAUGGCAUACAACUGAGUUGGCAGCAACAUACUCAGCUUCACAGCUUGAUAACGUUACUAUCGAUUGCUUCUUGGAUGACCAUGUGAAAGAUGUAUUUCCCAUGAAAAAGACAAAUCUCGUUGUGCUUUUCCUUUCAUCCAAAUCUCUACCCCAAUCACUAUCCGAGUAGCCAACAAGAUUGAAGUUUGUACUUGAGGUAUAAAACAUACCUUCAUUUAUUGUUCAUUUGAUGUAGCGAAGAAUUCUCUUGGCUGCAUUCAAGUGAGACUGGUCUGGUGUCUCCAUGUAUUUGCUGAUAAGACCAACUCCAUUUCAAAUCAAUUGUUGAUAAUAGGUAUAUAAAGAACUGAAUGUUGAUGAUAACCAGAAAAACAAAGAAUAAAGAACUUGCAGCGAAGAACAAAGAGCAGAAUGUUUUUCAUAGGUUACUGUCAUCCCUUAGCUUUUAUUUAUAGAUGAAAUCAAUCACAACAAAAUUAAGAAACGUAACUAACAUAAACUCCUUCAUUUAAAGAGCUAUGUAACUUAUUCUAAAUAAGUUUCAAAUCUAAAGAAGUAAAAACUGACUAAACAACAUUAAGAUAAUGAUGUUACUAAUAGAUAGACAUUAAUGAAAGAUAACCUACAGCUGAUACAUAAAUUUUAGCUUUGGUGCCAUAACUUCAACACUCCUCCUUGGUUCCAAAGCUGCACAUUCCUAUCCUCUCCCUUAGAUCUUCAAAUCUAUCUUUAGCUAAAGGCUUGGUGAACAGGUAGGCUAAUUGCUCUUUUGACGUGCAUUAUAUCAUCUCUAGUUCCCCUUCUUGCUGGAAUUGCCUGAUAAUAUGGAACUUGAUUUUCAUAUGCUUGGUCCUAUCAUGAAAAACAAAAUUCUUUGAAAUAGCUAUUGCUGAUGUAUUGUCACAGAACAAUUCUGUAGGACUUCGUUGAUCAAAGUCUAGAUCAUUCAACAUUUUCCUUAGCCAUAUCAAUUGCUUUGCUGCCACAUAUGUUGCUAUGUAUUAUGCCUCUACAGUGGAAUGUGCAACCACUGAUUGCUUCUUUGAAUUCCAACAGAAAAUGCUUCCUCUAAUAGCAAAGUAAUAACAUGAGGUACUCAUCAUUUCUUCAUCACUUCCCGCCCAAUCACUAUCAGAAAAACCAAUUAGUUUAACAGAACUUGAUUUCACAAAAUGCAUGCCAAACUCUAAGGUCCCUUUCAGAUAUCUCAGAACUCUUUUGGCUGCAACAAAAUAGAUUUGACUUGGACUUUGCAUGAACCUAGAGAGGUAAUUGAUAGCAAAAACAAUAUCUGGACGUGUAGCAGUUAAAUACAACAAGCUGCCAACUAAACUUCUGUAGGUUUUUCCAUCAGUUUUGGGAUCUCCAUCCUCCUUCAUUAGCUUUUAUCCCAGUACCAUUGGUGUACUGAUUGGUUUGCAAUUUUUCAUUGCAAAUUUGUUUAGUAGCUUCAUUGUAAACCUCUUUUGACAUAGAAAAUAACCUUGCUCCGACUGAGUUAAUUCCAUGCCUAAGAAAUAUGACAGCAAACCCAGUUCAUUCAUCUCAAACUUAUCCUUCAUGUUAGUUUUAAACUCCUUUACCAACUGCUCCUUGUCUCCUGCAAUCAAUAAAUCAUCUACAUACACUGAUACGAUCAGAGUAUGUUUGUCAACAUUGUUCACAUACAAAGUUACUUCAUUUAUGCUUCUUUCAAAGCCUAAGCUCAAAAAAUACCCAUCCAAUCUGCUGUACCAGGCUCUAGGAGCCUGUUUAAGUCCAUACAAAGUCUUCUUUAGCAGAUAUACUUCAUUUUAUGUUAUUUCCUUUUCAAAGUCACCAAGUUGUUCAACGUAUAUUUCUUCAUUUAGAACACCAUUAAAAAAUGCAGACUUAACAUCUAACUGAAAAAUAUGCCACCAUUUUGUGCUGCUAAAGCAAGCAAGAGCUUUAUUGUAUCAAGCCUAGAUACUGGAGCAAAUGUGUCAGUGAAGUCAAUACCUAGCUCUUGUGAAUAACCCUUCACUACAAGUCUUGCUUUGUGCUUAUUGAUACUCUCAUCUGCAUUCAGUUUGGUUUUGAAAAUCCAUUUUACACCAAUUACCUUCUUGUGAACGGUUCUGUCAUCGUGAGCUCCUCCUUCAUUACAGUUAUCCAUACUUGUGAGUUGAUAGCUUCUUCAAAAUCUAUUGGUUCUACUUCAGCAACAUUGCACCUGCUGUAAAUGUCAGCUAAGGACUUUGUCCCCCUUACUGGUUUGUCUUCGAUAGUAUUGUCGCACCCUCGCGGCGGAGUGCGGCGUCGCGGCGAACCCUCAAUUGAUUUUGGGGUCUUUGUUGUUGUUUGUGUAAAGGAGUCGCCACCUAGUAUUUUGGUCACUAGGAACCCUUACUAGUCUUUCAGAGAUUCUAAGGCAAGGGACUGGUUGCGUAAAGGGAAGGUAUUAGCACCCCUAGUACGCCCUGCCUAAGGUAAGCUGCUUGGUGUUUGGUUUGCUUUAUAAUUGCUAUGGUGUUGGUGUUUUCUAAUCACAUCAGUUUUCCUAGGUUUGAUUCAAACUAAAUUUAUUAAGAUAGAAAUCCAAGGAGAUUUCAUGUGCUUUAAAAGCUUAUUUUUCCCUUAGUAUUUCAAGAGUUUGCGACUCGUAAAUUGCAAGGAGGGACAAAAAUCUAAGGAAAUUCAUAAUGCUUUAAAAACAUAUUUUUGCCUUAGUGCAGAGAAGAAAACACAGCUACUGCUGGCGAUGGGGAAGAGAUAUGGACGACUGGGAUCAGCUGCUGGUGCAGAGACGAGACUGGUCGCCAUCCUGGAUUGCUGCUGCGGCUAGUACCUGCUCCUGGUGAUUGAUGGGCUGCGAGUCAGCGAUGGCUUCCGGAGCUGAAGACGACACCGUUGUUGAAGCUGGAGACGGCUGCGUACUGGUGCAGGACUCAGAGAAGAGCUGUUUGUUUGGAAUGUUAAGCAAAGCUCCUGACGUAUGCUGCUUGUGGCUCACGGUUUUGGCUGGUCUUAAAAGAAGUUGCCGGACCGUGGGGGAGAAUCUGGUGGUGAUGGGGAGAAGCCAAAAAGAAAAGAAGGAGAGGAUGAGGCUUUGGUUUUCUUGCUGUUCAGGUGAUAGAGGGAAGAUGUGUUUCGGUUUUGAGAAUGGAGAUGGAAAGGGCUAGUGUGCGGCUGAAUCGAGAGAGAGUCUGAAAGUUUAUGUUGAUGAGCGGCUAUGGGCUGUUUUUUAGACUGACGGGAAGGGAAAACUUUGCUGAGGGAAGGGGAAGGUUUGUGAAAAGAGAGAUGGGGCUGUGACUUUAAUGGGGUUCUCUGGUUUUGCAAGGGAAGAAUGGAGAUGGGGAACUAACAGAGAGAGGAGCUGCUGUGUUUUGGAGGAGAGAUGGCGAUGGUGGAACGGCUGAGAGGGGAAUGGGGGUUCUGGUGAAAGGGAGAGGGGACAGUGUAUGGCCAGAGAGAGAUCCUUUAUUUCCUCAAAGGGAGGGGCUGCUUCGUUGUUUUUAUUUUUAAAAGAUGAGCAGGGGCUACGGCUUCUUUGCUAGAGAAAUAGGGUUAGGGUUUUUCUGUGUUUCCCUUGAUUUUUGUUUGUCUCUUUGCCUCUUGUAAAUUUUUCUUUUCUUUGUGCAUAUGGCUGGAUCUUCAUUUAUAUAGAAAAUCUCUACACGUUCUAUUUAAAGAAAUAUUGCAAUCAUUAUUACAGAGAUUGUCUUCUAUAACCAGCACCAACAAAUCAUAUAUAUAUGGUAUUUUUUAUUGUAGUGAUUAUUUUCCAUAACCAGCACGAAUCAAAUCAUAUAUCUAUGAUAUUGCAGUAAUUAUAUAUGAUUCAGUAAUUAUCUCCUUGACAUAUUGCUUCCUUAACCCUGAUGCUCUAUGUUCUCGCCACAUGUAAAUCUUUAUUUUUUUAUUUUAUUUUUAUUUUUUAUUUUUUUAUUUUUUUUAAAAAAUUAUCAAAACAUGGGUCAAAUUUUGGGUAGCAACAGAUGCCCCCUCUUUACAAUGCUUACGAAGCAAAACUCCUCAAUGUUUGCAUAGUAAGCUUGUAAAGAAAAAAAGUCUUCCUUGCUUGUUGAGUGAUCCACUCAUCCAAGGACUUCAUUUUUUAAAAGAAAAUUUGUCUCGCUAUCAUGGGUGACCUGCCCCGUUUUUUUUAAAAGAAAAUUGAUCUAUUUUCACGGGCGACCUGCCCACACACAUCCAAACCUGGUCUAUUUUCAGGGGCGACCUGCCCACAUACUCACGCUGGUCUAUUUUCACAGGCGACCUACCCAUUUGAUUGGGUUAACCUGAGAUCCCAUCUGGCGAUCUCCUUUAAUCCGAAGCAAAGUCGGUGUGUAGCUCGGUUAACCUGAAAUCUCAUCUGGCGAUUCCCUUUAACCAAAGCUAAACUCUGUGUGUGGUUGGGUUAACCUGAGAUCCCAUCUAGCGAUCUCUUUUAAUUUGAAGCAAAGUCGGUAUGUAGCUCGAUUAACCUGAAAUCCCAUCUGGCGAUUUCCUUUUAACCAAAGCUAAACUCUGUUUGUGGUUGGGUUAACCUGAGAUCCCAUAUGGCGAUCUCCUUUAACCACAACCAAUACAAAAAAGUGUGUGUGGUCUCAUUAUAACGGGUCACCUACUCAAAUUAAAAUUCUUAGAAAACUCCACGCUUUCCUAAGAAAUGGUCUCAAUAUCGGGUGAUAGGCCCCUCCUAAAAUUCUUAUAAAACUCCACGCUUUUCUAAGGGAUGGUUUCAAUUUCGAGUGACCUGCCCACCUCAAAAUUUUUUUUAGAAAACUCCAUGCUUUUCUAAAAAAUGGUCUCAAUAUCGGGUGACCGGCCCCUCUUAAAAUUCUUAGAAAACUCCACGCUUUUCUAAGAAACGGUUUCAAUAUCAGGUGACCGGCCCCUCUUAAAAUUCUUAGAAAACUCCACACUUUUCUAAGAAAUGGUCUCAAUAUCGAGUGACCGGCCCAACUUAAAAUUCUUAGAAAACUCCACGCUUUUCUAAGAAACGGUUUCAAUAUCAGGGAACCGGCCCCUCUUAAGAUUCUUAGAAAACUACACGCUUUUCUAAGAAAUGAUCUCAAUAUCGAGUGAUCGGCCCAACUUAAAAAUUCUUAGAAAACUCCACGCUUUUCUAAGGAAUGGUCUCAAUAUCGGGUGACCUGCCCAUCUUAAGAUUCUUAGAAAACUCCACGCUUUUCUUAAGAAAUGAUCUCAAUAUCAGGUGACCGGCCCAUCUUAAAAUUCUUAGAAAACUCCACGCUUUUUUAAGAAACGGUUUCAAUAUUAGGUAACCGGCCCCUCUUAAAAUUCUUAGAAAACUCCACGAUUUUCUAAGGAAUGGUCUCAAUAUCGGGUGACCUGCCCAUCCUAAAACUUCUUAGAAAAACUCCACGCUUUUCUAAGAAAUGGUCUCAGUAUCGGGUGACCUGCCCAUCUCAAACUUCAAAAGAAAACAUCUUACCUCGAGGAAAUGAAGCAGUGCUGGUUCACAAUUCCUAUCCUUUUCCAUAGUUCCGUUGACCAGAGAUUUUGGACCUCAGCAGUUUUCCCAAAAACUUGGAACUAUUUUGGCCUUCGUCACACCUUCUCCUGCCAGGUUAGUGUUAUGACAAUAUAGCAUGCAUGUUUUUUUGUUACCUAUUUUGGAAACAUAGGUCCCCCUUUCUGUUGUAGACUUAUUGAGCUCUUGUUUCCAUUUGCUUGUCCGAUUCGUCCUCUUGAAACAAAAUAUGCUCCAUACGCUAUACUUCUUAUCCUCUUGGUGAAGAGAUCUUUGGUUCUUUAUGGGGCCCUUUUUUUCUCCAUCGAGUAUUGUCUUUUAUUAUUAUUUUAAAAGGAAAACUCAAAAGAUUUAGUUUUGUUCAUGAAAACUAAAACUUUCAAUGCAAUUAGCAAUUCUCAUAAAAUAUGCUUUUUAGAAGUUUUUAUGAUGAUACCCCUUUGGGCUUUGGUUCACUAUGGACCCCUAUGUGCACUUCGUACACUUCUUGCCCCCAGUAUGGUGUGCAAAAAUAUGUCAAGUUUAGAUUUGAUUUGGUUCUCUCCAAUUGAUGGAGUUAUCUCCUUAGUCAUGCGUAAAAAACAGUUCUUUUAAGUAAAAGAUUUCAAAUGCUAUGAGAUCAUACGUUUUAUGAAAAAAAGGUUCUUUACAAAGAGAAUUCAUGGCCGAACUUUAUUUUAUUGACUGGGAAGCAUAGUAUUUAGAGUCAGCAUUCAUAGGUUUAACUAUAUCUUCUCCAUCCAUUCUAGAUAACAAUAAAGCUUCUCUCGAGAACGCUUUCUUUACCACCAAAAGGCCCUCAUUGUUUGGCGCCCAUUUACUCUGAUCUUCUCCUGGUAAAAGGCAACAUUUUCUUCAUUACAAGAUCUCUUUCGUGGAAUCCUCAAGGUCAAAUCUUCUUGUCGUAUGAUUUGGCCAUCCUUCUUUGAUAGAGUUGAUGAUGACAGAUUGCGGCUAUCCUCUUUUCACUGAUCAGAUUCAGCUGUUCAUAUCUAACCUUUGCCCAUUCUACCUCUUCUAGCUCAAAGUCUAUCAAUACUCUUAAUGAGGGGAUUUCCACUUCUAAAGGCAUCACCGCCUCCAUUCCAUAUACCAACGUAUACGGGGUGGCUCCUAUUGAGGUAUGGACUGCGGUGCAGUACGUGUGAAGGGCAAAUGACAACAUCUCAUGCCAAUCUUUGUAGGUGACUACCAUCUUCUUGACAUUUUCGUUAGCAGUUUCUAUAACACCAUUCAUCUUUGGACUAUAUGGCGAGGAAUUGGAAUGCUUGAUUAUUUAGCGAAGAGUUCUAUUAUCAUCUUGCCAUUGAAGUUAUGGGCAUUAUUAGUCAUAAUCUUUUCUAGUGGACCAUAUCGACAGAUCAAAUCUCUUUCCAUAAAUUUCUUCACCACUUUUCACCUCCAUGUCAUCUAAACAUCUCAACAAAGUUCCGUCAGAUGAUUUCUUAUACAAAGUUUCCCCAUCAAGAUAGAUAUUCAUUGCCAACCUCCUCAAAGUCUUUUUGUCGAUUUUGGAUGCCCCCAUGGGAUAUGUCUGGUUUUUGGAUGAAAUUCUUGAUAUCAUAGUACCAAGGGUUUCCAUCUAUUUCUCUCUCAACUGAGCAACAAUGAGCUGGGUUAUUUCUGAUAUCAAUGUGUACCGACCGUACCUUGUGCCCAAAGUUUAUUCUAGCCAUAGAAGCUAACGUGACCAAAACGUCAGCAAAAUGGUUUCCUUCCCUUCCUAGAUGGGUGGACUUUAUUUCCUCAAAUUCUCUAGCCAAUUUAGACAGUUAUUCUUGGUAAGGUCUCAACUUCUCGUCCUUGAUUUGCCAUUUUCCUUUCACUAAUCAAAAUCGAGUCUCCAUACAUAUCUAUCUUUCUAAUAUUCAACUCCAAUGCCACCUCUAAAAUGAGAAUGCAAGCUUCAUACUCCUAUGUUGUUAUUGCACCCAAACUUCAACUUAACUAAAAUCGAAUACUACUUUUUAUUAGGAGAGAUUAUCAUUGCAUCAACUCUAUUACCACAUUCGUUUACAACACCAUCAAAGUACAUAGUCCACCAAUCUAAUUUUCCUUCCUCAACUGAAAACACAUCUUCAUCAGGAGGUACUGCUUGAUUUUCUCGAAAGCUUCUUCACACUCUUAUUACAAAUUCCGAGAUUCUUCUUGCUUAACAAUCGAAGAUUGGGUCACAAGUCAUGGUUAAUUGGGAUAUAAACCGAGCAAUGUAAUUCAACCUUUCUAAGAACUUUCUUACAUCCUUAGGAGUUGGCAUAGAUUGAAUAGCCUUUACUUAACCAAGGUCCACUUCUAUCCUUUUGUCACUCAUCAUAAAUCCUAACAACUUCCCAGAUUUCACCCCGAAUGAACACCUUGCAUGGUUAAGCCUCAACUUGUACUUCCUUGGUCUUUCAAACAAUUCCUUCAAUAUUUGGACAUGAUUCUCUCCCUCUCUAGAUUUAGCAAUCAUGUCAUCCAUGUAUACUUUACUAUUUGUGCAUCAUGUCGUGAAAUAGAGUUACCAUGGCCCUUUGGUAGGUGGCCCCAACAUUCUUCGACCAAAAUGGCAUGACCUUGUAACAAAAGGUUCCCCAUGGUGUUACAAAUGUUGUCUUCUUCUUAUCCUCUUACGCUAUUUUUAUCUGAUUAUAGCCCGAAAAUCCAUCCAUAAAGGAAUAUAUGGAGAUACGUGAUGCAUUUGUCAAACAUAUCUAUGUGUGGUAGACAAACUCUGAUUUUAUCUUCCUUUUUUUGGUACAACCAUUAUGUUGGACACCCAUUGUGGAUAUUUGACUACUUCUAGAAAAUCGAUGUUCCACUGCUUUUCAAUUUCUACCUUUACUUUGAUCAAUACAUCCGAAUGGAUUCUUCUCAACUUUUCCUUAACCGAUUUGCAUCCUUCUACCAGCAGUACCCUUUGUACUACAAUAUCGGUAUCUAAGCCAGACAUAUCCUCAUAGGACCAAGCAAAAACAUCUAUAUAAUCUCGAAGUAACCAACUCUUCUCUUUCUUUAGGAGUGAUCAAAAAUCCCUAUCUUCAGCUCUCUCUUGAUUUCUUCAUUACCCACAUUUAUGGUUUCAAGUUCCUCUUUAGCGGGUCUCCAAGCUUGUUCUUGUUGUCCUAUUUUUAUCCCAUUCUUCCUCUUCUACAGCUACUAUGUAUUCUUUAAAGUUUGGCCAUUCAUUCUUAGUGUAAAGUGCAGGUGUUUGUUUUGGAAGAUCCACUUUGGAAACGGAAAGUGAUGUGUAAAAACAUCAAGAUGAACUUUUGAAAAUGCAUGAUCUCAUUAAAGGGAAAACGUUGUCUCAAAACAUUUGCUCGAGCAAACCGAUUAGGUGUGCAUCAUCAUUCCAAAUUCCUUCAAGCUCUUUUUGGUACUAGGUGUGACCUUUCAUCAUUUUCCUUAGUCAAGUGUUGUGGAUUCUAGAAGGGGGACCUAUGUUUCUAGGUCUGCAGAUGCGUGCAUAGAUGUAUAAGAAAAUGUAUGAUAUAAUGCAUGAUUAUGAUAAGAACGUAUUUGUAUAUUGGGUAUGGAUGCAGCCUUCUUGUGAACGAAUAAUAGCCACCACCUUAUAAACAUAGAUUCUCUUGUCACAUUGCUUUGCUAGGAGUACUGCCUUUCGAGUCAUUUGCUUGAAUCAUAUUCACCAAGAGACAGAUUUUACAUAAGAAGAUGGGUCAACGCCCUUUUCAUUAAUGCUUCAUAAGUUUAUUACAUUUAGAAAUAAAAAGGAAAUACAACAUAUUAAUCCCUUUCCUCCACAAACUCUCUAGCCAAAAGUAAGAAGGCAAACCCGCGGUUCUCAAUCUUCCCUAGAAAGGCAUCGGUUUCAGCUAGGCUUCGGCAAUAGCGAAUGAUGUCCGCUCCCACAUUUCACGCAUUGAUUCUAAUAAUUCGAGCAUGUGCAACAGCUUCAUCCAUUUGCUCAUCUAUCUUGGUCAUCUUUUCUAUGAGCAACAUAUUGGUUCUGUUCAAAGCAGUGUUAUUGGCAUCGAUUUGAUCCUUGUGUUUUUCCAUUGCUGCUAGCUUCUCGUCUAAAUACUUCACCUUUUCACGUUCCUUGUCAAGUUUUAUCCUCAUAACUUUUAUCUCAUUCUUCUUAACCCCUAAUUCUGUUUCAACAGCCUCAAAACGUUUCCUUUUACUUUCUUCUUUUGCAAUCCCCAUCGAACGGGUUUCCAACUCCAUAUAUUUCUUAUUCAAAUCCUCAUACUUCCCAAUCCUAUCCAUCAGUUCGAACUAGACUUGUGCAAAUUUUUCUUGGAAAUAUUCUGCACUUCCUUGGCAAUCGUUAAAGUCAAUCUCCAUUGCUUCAAGUUCAGAGCAACUUUGCAUCCAAUUCAAACUCAUCCCUCUUAGCUCCUUCUCACUUCUUUCCCUAGCAAUCUUCUCCUCACCUAGCUUUAACUCAAGCUUUGUUAUUCGCGCAUCUCUAGAUUGUAUUUGCUCAUCUAGAAAUGCUCUCCUUUUAUCUUCUUUUAGCAUCAUUUCUUCCAACAUUACCUUGUCUUUUCUGCUUUUUGCUCAACUCUGUCCGAAGUUUUUCCACUUGUCUUCUCAACUCCUCUUCAUUAUUGACCCUUUUCCUUUUAAUAGGCUCUUCUACAGUUUGGGGAGAUUUGACUCCUACACAAGGCAUGGCUGAAGCUGCUAAGUCUCUCCAUCUUGCAUAUCCUUCACUUGCACUUGGAUCUUUUAAACCUUCUAUCUCAACCAAAACCAGAUGCUUCCAAUCUUGUUUGAUGAUCUGCAAAACUUCUUGUGCAAUGGGAUCUUUGAACAAACCAAAGAACUGAGCAAUUCCCAUAGUCCUUGGAACAAACUACAUGCCCCCAAGUUGCCUUACCACUAGGGCAGGAGCAUAACUCACAUAACCUGUAAUCCCUACCAAUGGCACCCAACAUCUUUGUCCACAACUCAUUAGGACUUCCACUGUCGUUACCCAUGGGGCUCUCCACUUAAAAUCACUAUUAGGCAAACCUUCUAAUUUGUCAAACCAACCUUGGUUGUCUAGAUCUCCCCAUUCUUUUUCUUCUACUAACUUCAGGGGUCUUUAGGUGAACCACCAAAAAUUAUUGAAGACAGGCUUUUUUGUUUCGAUAUGGCUAACCAUCCAGAUAUACAACAACUGCGUGUAGCAUCUCAUUGCUCCAUUUCUGGUCCUCCUACAAUGAUUAAGUGUCAAGAUGGUUUCAGCUAAAAUAGCAGCCACUGGAUUGAUUUGUGUAUUCUCAUACUUUACAUAAGCAGCAGCGACCUCCAAACUCACUACACCCGUCUGACUUUGGAACAACAUAAGGCCAAAUAUGCCCAAGGCAAUCAAUCUCUCUUUUUCUAAUCCGGACUUCUUUUCCAGUUCAAUUUCUAGCAUCCUCCAUUUCAGACCAGUAGCAUUCUUUUCCAAAAACUUUUCCAAGUUGGAGAUUCUGAGCAGUUUUGACAGUUCGGGGAUGAUCUUGUCAGAUCUCAAAGGCAAAUAUAUCCGAUACAGAUUGUUUGGAAACUCAGUCAACAUCCCAUAUUCCUCCAUAGUGGGACAUAGAUCUAUGCUUCCAAAAGAAAAACACUGGUAGUCUGGAUCCCAAAAAUGAACUAAGGCUCGCACAGCUGGGCUUAAAACUUCUACCCUUGCGAUUUCCACCAAACAUCCAUAUUUCCUAAAAAAUGCAUCUUUAUCCACAUUCUGAAAAUGAGUCGUUAACUUGUUGACCUCAUUCAUAAUGCAAUUCAGGUUCUUGAUUGGUGACAUCUUCUUAGCAUCGCUUCUAAGGCAGUCUCCUUCAGUCAAUUGUGACAGUUCAGAAUUUUUCCCAUACUCUAUGAUGGAAGAUUUAGUGAUGGUGGCCAUUUCGUUCACAAGUCCUGCAAUUCAAGAUGCUUUAGGGUUAGACUUGUUUUGAUGCAAAAGAUAUUAUGGAGCAUACAACCUAAGGAUAGGUUCUAGUUCCUUUACGUGAGACAUACGGUAGGUUUACUACUUGGUCUCUAAAAAAAGGUCUCUUGUUGUCCUAGUGAUCGCCCUCGUAAAGGCAAUAUGGGGGUUCAACAGAUAAUGAGAUGGCACAUGUACCCAUUACUAUCAGUCUAAACACUCAGCAAAGAGUUGGGGUUUACACAAACUUAAACCUUGACUCAAGUCAUAAGGCAAGCUGCUAGUUCCCCACUUAACUUAAAGUUAAAUGUGUGUGCCCUCAAAAAGAUAAUAAUAAUAAAGUGAUGCAUGAUUAUACCAUGUAUGACAGAAUGUAAAGAUCCAUGCUAAAGCUUUUAAACAAAGUAUCAUUCAUGUAAGAAAACAAAAACCAAUAACACAUAGCAUAAACAAAAAAAUUACCAAGCCUAGUCCUAAGUCCCUAGUGGAGUCGCCAUCCUGUCGCACGAUCGCAGCGGAGUGCCGCGUCGCGGCGAACCCUCGAUUGAUUUUGGGGUCUUUGUUGUUGUUUGUGUAAAGGAGUCGCCACCUAGUAUUUUGGUCACUAGGAACCCUUACUGGUCUUUCAGAUAUUCUAAGGCAAGGGACUGGUUGUGUAAAGGAAAGGUAUUAGCACCCCUAGUACGCCCUACCUAAGGUAAGCUGCUUGGUGUUUGGUUUGCUUUAUAAUUGCUAUGGUGUUGGUGUUUUCUAAUCACAUCAGUUUUCCUAGGUUUGAUUCAAACUAAAUUUAUUAAGAUAGAAAUCCAAGGAGAUUCCAUGUGCUUUAAAAGCUUAUUUUUCCCUUAGUAUUUCAAGAGUUUGCGACUCGUAAAUCGCAAGGAGGAGGGACAAAAAUCUAAGGAAAUUCAUGACGCUUUAAAAGCAUAUUUUUGCCUUAGUGUUUCAUACUCUCACGGCUCGUAAACCGUGGAGUAAAAAAAUUGAAAUGUCCUCGAUUAUAAUCAAGGCUUCUUUCAAGGAUGUGUGGUGACUUAUUAUUCCUAGAAAAAUAUUUUGGAUAUUAACCACUUGGGGUUUCUUUAUCCAAAUAUUAACAGCGAAUAAUAACAAGUUAUUCCCAAUAAUAGAUGACUUCCCCCCAAAAAAUAAGAUUUUUGUAUUUUUUGGAAUAUUGGCCAAUACCCUUUGGAGUUUUACAAACAUGUUGUAAAAUCCAGAAAUGCAAGAGAAAUAAUUUUUUAUUGUGUUUAAGAAAUCCAUGCGAAAACACAUUUUCAAAACUUCAAAUAUUUAUUUUUUAUAUAUAAAAAAAAACGUUCAAAACAUGUUAGGGUAUUGGCCGUAUGCAUGAAAACAUUAUAUAUAUAUAUAUAUAUAUAUAUAUAUAUAUAUAUAUAUAUAUAUAUAUAUAUAUAUAUAUUUGCCAUCUUUGUGUUGAAAACCGGGUAUUCUAAAUGCGAGAUUGAUAUUUUUUUUAUAAUAAAAAAAAAUACAAACCUUAAAAUAAAUAUGCUAGAAAAUUAUCAAUCUCUCUCCCUUUCUUUUUUUGGAGAAAAAAAAAAGGAUGAAACCAGUAGAUCCAGUCGGGUCACUUGCCAAAGCAAGUGACCUUGGCAAGUGACCCGGCUGGACAAAAAAAAAAAACUCAGCUACUGUUCAAGUGAAUUAUAAUUCACUUGAACAGUAAACAUAAAAGGCAUGCACAGUAGCUAUGUAAUUAAAAUGCAAAGUGAAGAGAAUGCAUGGAAACUUACCUUGCGCUGAAACGGGCAAAGGCGAUGGCGCUGAGACGACUGGACGCUGCUCAUGAAGGAAGAUCCGGCCUGCUGCUCUUGCUUAUUGCUUCUCAAAGUGGCUGAGGAAUUGCAACUGGUGAUGACCGCGCCCAUGCUGGUUCUUGCUCCCAGUGCAGAGAAGAAAACACAGCUACUGCUGGCGAUAGGGAAGAGAUAUGGACGACUGGGAUCAGCUGCUGGUGCAGAGACGAGACUGGUCGCCAUCCUGGAUUGCUGCUGCGGCUAGUACCUGCUCCUGGUGAUUGAGGGGCUGCGAGUCAGCGAUGGCUUCCGGAGCUGAAGACGACACCGCUGUUGAAGCUGGAGACGGCUGCGUACUGGUGCAGGACUCAGAGAAGAGCUGUCUGUUUGGAAUGUUAAGCAAAGCUCCUGACGUACGCUGCUUGUGGCUCACGGUUUUGGCUGGUCUUAAGAGAAGUUGCCGGAUCGUGGGGGAGAAUCUGGUGGUGAUGGGGAGAAGCCAAAAAGAAAAGAAGGAGAGGACGAGGCUUUGGUUUUCUUGUUGUUCGGGUGAUAGAGGGAAGAUGUGUUUCGGUUUUGAGAAUGGAGAUGGAAAGGGCAGUGUGCAGCUGAAGGUGGGUGGUCGAGAGAGAGUCUGAAAGUUUGUGUUGAUGAGCGACUAUGGGCUGUUUUUUAGACUGACGGGAAGGGAAAACUUUGCUGAGGGAAGGGGAAGGUCUGUGAAAAGAGAGAUGGGGCUGUGAAUUUAAUGGGGUUCUUUGGUUUUGCAAGGGAAGAAUGGAGAUGGGGAACUAACAGAGAGGGGAGCUGCUGCGUUUUGGAGGAGAGAUGGCGAUGGUGGAACGACUGAGAGGGGAAUGGGGGUUCUGGUGAAAGGGAGAGGGGACAGUGUAUGGCCAGAGAGAGAUCCUUCGUUUCCUCAAAGGGAGUGGCUGCUUCGUUGUUUUUAUUUUUAAAAGAUGAGCAGGGGCUACGACUUCUUUGCUAGAGAAAUAGGGUUAGGGUUUUUCUGUGUUUCUCUCAAUUUUUGUUUGUCUCUUUGCCCCUUGUAAAUUUUUCUUCCCCUUAUGCAUAUGGCUGGAUAUUUAUUUAUAUAGAAAAUCUCUAUACGUUCUAUUUAAAGAAAUAUUACAAUAAUUAUUGCAGAGAUUGUCUUCUAUAACUAGUACCAACAAAUCCUAUAUAUAUAGUAUUUUUUAUUGUAGUGAUUAUUUUCCAUAACCAGCACGAAUCAAAUCAUAUAUCUAUGAUAUUGCAGUAAUUAUAUAUGAUUCAGUAAUUAUCUCCUUGACAUAUUGCUUCCUUAACCCUGAUGCUCUAUGUUCUCGCCACAUGUAAAUCUUUAUUUUUUUUUUUUAUUUUAUUUUUAUUUUUUUAUUUUUUUAAAAAAUUAUCAAAACAUGGGUCAAAUUUUGGGUAGCAACAAGUAUCAUCAUCCUCUAUAGCAUCCAGUUCAAUUUGAUGCUCCUAUUUUGUCCCUACAAUUGAUGCAGCUUCCCAGUUCCAUGUACCAUUCUCUGCAACUUUUACAUCUCUAGCAAUCACAACUUUGUUAGAUUUCAAAUCAUAGAUUUUACAAGCCUUAGAUUUUGUGCUAUAGUCUAUAAGAAUUCCCAUAGUAGCCUUUUGAUCAAGUUUUCUUCUCUUAACUUCAGGUUGCAAGACAUAGCAAGGGCUGCCAAAAACUUUUAAAUGAUCAACAUUGGGUUUAAAGCCAUAACAGAUUUUAUAAGGAGUCUUAUCUCCUAACACUCUUAUGGGCAUACGAUUUAGAAGGUAGGAUGAUGUGUUUAUUGUCUCUGCCCAGAAUUUUAAUGGCAUUUUCUUCUCAUAUAGCAAGCAUCUUGCCAUUUCCAUCAAUGUUCAGUUUCUCCUCUCACUGACUCCAUUCUGUUGUGGAGUGUAAGGCAUUGUUAGCUGAUGUUUGAUCCCUUCUUUUGCCAAAUACCCUUUAAAUUUUCGAGAGGUAAACUCACCCCCAUUAUCAAAUCUCAACAUCUUCAGUUUGUUUCCUGUUUCUAGUUCAACUGUUGUCUUAAAUCUUACAAACUCAGCAAACACAUUAGCCUUAGAUUUAAGAAAAUAAACCCAGCAAAAUGUACUAUAGUCAUUAACAAAUAAUAUAAAGUACUUUGAACCAUUCAAAGAUUCCUUGUGCAUCGGAUCACACACAUCUGUGUGUACCAGCUGGUGCUUUGAUGAUGCUCUAAAUGCAUUUAUCAGGAAAAACAAUUCUAGUCUGCUUUCCUAAUUGACAAGCUUCACAAAUAUCAUGUUGUUCUUGUAUUUUGGUAAACCAGAAGCCAUCUACAGAUCAGCCAUCCUUUUUAAGGUAGCAUAAUUGAAAUGCCCCAAUCUUUUAUGCCAUAAAACAGAAUCGGUUCUAUUAAAACUUCUUUUAUGACACAAGUGUUAACACUCAAACAAGCUUCUUUCCAAUCAAUAUUAAAACUUCUAUUCAUCAUCUUAGCAGAGAGCAAUAGUAUUCCCAUCUUGUCUCUAAUAUUGCACAUUCCAUCAUUAAAAGAUAAUGAGUAGCCAGAUUCCAGUAAUUGUCCCACACUUACUAGAUUCUGAUUAAUCUUAGGUACAUAAAGCAUAUUUUUUAGAGUUUUUGUACCUGACAUUGUUUCAACUUCAAUCACCCCUUUGCCUUCAACCUUCACAUACUCUUCAUUGCCAGUUCUGACUUUGGACAUGUAGCUUUUAUCCAAAUCCUUGAAUAAACUCAAAUCCGUAGUCAUAUGAUUAGUGCAGCCACUAUCAAUAAGCCAUGAUGAAUUGUUUACCACUGCUGUGUUGCACAUCUGUUCUAAUGUAGCCAUGAAUAAAUGAUCUUCCUUGGCUUUUGAAUUUUCUGCAAUAUAAGCUUGUUUCACUGCUUCUGAUUUGUUUUUACAGAACCUUUGGAUAUGACCAAAUUGUUUGCAACUUCUGCAUUGUGCAUUCUUAAGUCAACACCAAGCUUCUAGAUGAUUUGUUUUCUGAAAGAAUUUGCAAGGAGGGAAAUGUUCUCUCUUUUCUUUCCCUCGAGUGAUAAUGUUUUUGCUGAUCUGAUGCUAAUUAUUUGAUUGUCAACUUCUCCCUCUUUGUCUUUUUCCUUCUUGAUUGUUCCUGUACAAAUUCUUAGCUCGACUCUCCUUGGAAACUGCAACAAGAGCUCCUUCACUUGUUUCUUCUUAUCUGUAAGCUUGCCUAUGCUCUACCACUUGUAAUGCAUUAACCAAUUCUUGAAGACUCAUUUCUGAAAAAUCUUUGAAUCUUUCAAAGAGCAAAUCUUAUGCUCAAAUUUCUUUGGUAGACUUACCAGAACCUUCUCCACUAUUCUUGAAUCCAGAAAAUCUUCCCCCAAAAGUCUCACUUGAUUCACAAGUUUUAAAAUUUGAGAUGAGAAGUCUUUGAUGGUUUCAGUUUCCUUCAUCUUUAAACCUUCAAACUGUCUUCUAAGGUUUAAAACCUGUAUCUUUAUUGACUUCUCCUCACCAUGAAAUUCUGCUUUAAUUUAUCCCAUGUUUCUUUGGCAGAUUUACACGCCAUAAUCCUUAUGAAGAUUUCUUCACUCACAGCAUUAUGAACACAGGUAAGAGCUUUGAAUCGUUUUGCCUUUUCUUCAUUAAAAAACUUCAUUUGUGCAAUCGUAGGAUUGUUUCCUAGUGGAAUUGGUUGUUUAUCGCUCUCCACUAUCUCCCAUAAGUCAAAAGCUUUGAGAUAAGUUUCCAUUUUCACAGCCCACACACCGAAAUUUUGCCUUGUGAACACUGGUGUCUUUGCUGGAAAAUUUACAGAAUCCAUUUCUUAACAAAAAAAAAACUCACUUAAUCUCUUGUGUUUCACUCACAAUCCCUUCAAAGAAAACUGCUUUGAUUUAACCUCACUAAUCUCUCGUGUUUCACUCACAAUCCCAUCUAAGAUCAAUAAAUUUCUCUGAUACCAAAUGUUGAUAAUAGGUAUAUAAAGAACUGAAUGUUGAUGAUAACCAAAAAAACAAAGAACAAAGAACUUGCAGCAAAGAACAAAGAGCAGAAUGUUUUCAUACGUUACUUCCAUCCCUUAGCUUUUAUUUAUAGAUGAAAUCAAUCACAACAAAAUUAAGAAACGUAACUAACAUAAACUUCUUCAUUUAAAGAGCUAUGUAACUUAUUCUAAAUAAGUUUCAAAUCUAAAGAAGUAAAAACUGACUAAACAACAUCAAGAUAAUGAUGUUACUAAUGGAUAGACAUUGAUGAAAGAUAACCUCCAGCUAAUAUAUUAAUUUCAGCUUUGGUGCCAUAACUUCAACAUCAAUAAUAGCCGCUCAAACAUCAUCUUAGAUCUCAUACAUUGUGAUUUAUGGGGACCAACACCUAUAGCUUCCAUUUCAGGAUAUCGAUAUUACAUCAUUUUUAUCAAUGAUCACUCGCGCUUCACUUGGUUUUAUCCAUUGAAGAACAAAGCUGAUUUUUAUCCCACUUUCAUCCAAUUUCAAACCUUGGUUGAAAAUCAGUUCUCAUCAAAAAUAAAAAUAUUUCAAAGUGAUGGGGGGGUGAAUUCACGAGUGCAAUCUUUAAGUCUCAUCUCGUUAAAUGUGGCAUUCAUCAUCAAAUUUCUUGUCCUUAUACACCAUCUCAAAAUGGCAGAGCCGACAGGAAACAUAGACACCUCACUGAAACAGGUCUCACAAUGCUUUUUCAUGCUAAUUCUCCUUUUCAUUUUUGUUUUUAGGUUGAAGCCUUUAGUACAGCCGUAUACAUCAUAAAUCGCUUGCCUAAACCUGUCAUAAAUGAACUAUCUCCAUUUGAAAUUCUGUAUGGUAAGACUCCUUCUUAUGCUAUGUUUCACACAUUUGGCUGCUUGUGCUUUCCAUAUUUACAUGAUUAUGCUAAACAUAAAUUUGAACCACGCAGUCUUCCUUGUAUCUUUCUUGGAUACAAUACUUCCUAUAAAGGAUUCCAAUGUUUAGAUCCUAUAUCACAUCGAGUUUUUGUCACCAUGUAUGCACGAUUUAAUGAAACAGUAUUUCCAUUUUUAUCUUCUAAUAUGCAGCCUUCUUCAGCUCUUUCAGAUUUCAUUUUCUUUCAUGAUCCCUGUGUAUCGAACUCUUCCUUGUCUGGCUUUAAUUCUUCUGCAGAUUCUCAAUCCUCACAACACACAUCUGAGUCUCUGCCAUGUAAAUCUUGUGCCUUAGAGUUGGACAAUUCUCAUGUGUCAGCACUGCCUCUACCUUCUCCAAAUACUUCCUCAAUUGAAGUUAUAUCAGAUAUGCCGCCUCCAUCAAAUCUGCGCUCCUCAACUCAGAACUCUCAUUCUAUGAUCACUCGUGAGAAAGCUGGUAUCUCCAAAACUAAGCAUUCCAAUUAUGUUUGUUAAGUUCCGUCCUAUCCUUUGCUAUACUCUCUUAUAGUAACGAAGGAACCAAAGGGAUUCAAAAAUGCUGCUAAAAUUCCAGAAUGGCUUGCUGCCAUGAAUGAAGAAAUUCAUGCUCUCCAACUCAAUCAAACAUGGGAUUUAGUUCAAAGACCAUCUGCCAAAAAUGUUGCUGGCUCCAAAUAGGUCUUUCGUACUAUUUAUCAUUUGGAUGGAAUUGUUGACAAGCUCAAUGCUCGCCUUAUUGCUAAAGGCUAAACACAACUCUAUGGUCUUCAUUUUAAUGAUACAUUCAGCCUAAUAGUUCGCACAUCCACAGUCAGACUCGUCCUCUCUAUCUCAGUUUCUUGUGGUUGGAUCAUACAUCAACUAGAUGUUAAAAAUGCUUUCUUACAUGGUAUACUACGAGAAAAGGUUUAUAUAGAGCAACCACUAGAAUAUAUUGAUGCCUUUUACUAUUGACCAAGAAUGACUCUAGAAGUAAAAUAAAAUCUCAGGAGAGUCUGAGUUUGUUUAUAGUAUCAGAGUUUGUUUACUGUUACUAUUUUAAUGGCUAUCUUUUAUUCUAUGUAACAGAAAAUUAGAUAUGCUUGGAGAAUAUCUUGCAAUUUUGUUUUUCCUUAUUGUAUAAAUAAUCGUGUUGAAUUCAAUAAAGUAAUUGUUCUGCUGCAGCUACAAUAAGAAAGUUUUGUUUUCUCUUCAAUAUAUAUAACAAAUUGGUAUCAGAGCUUAUUUUCUUGAGGGACUUAUGAGAUUGAGAGAUCCUAAACACAACCUUCAAACACUUGUGAGAUUGAGAGAGCCUAAACACAACCUUCAAAUACUUUUCAUCUAAACACAACAUAACCAAUAUGAACUCAAAAAUGCCAUUUAUUGCAGUGGCACCUCCAGUAUUUGAUGGGAUCAAUUAUCAAGUAUGGGCUAUUAGAAUGGAAGCCCAUCUUGAUGCUAAUGAUCUAUGGGAAGCAGUUGAACAAGUAUAUGAAGUGCCAACUCUAUCAGACAAUCCAACUGUCGCAUAAAUAAAAAAUCACAGAGAGAAGAAGCAGAGAACAUCGAAAGCAAAAGCAACUCUGUUUGCAGCAGUCUCACCCACCAUUUUUUACAUAAUAAUGACUCUAAAAACAGCAAAGGAAAUUUGGGAUUUUCUGAAAGGAGAAUACAAAGGAAAAGAGAGAAUUAAAGGGAUGUAGGUGCUCAACUUAAUCCGAGAAUUUGAGUUACAAAAGAUGAAAGAAUAAAAAACAAUCAAGGAAUAUUCUAUCUUAGUAUUAUUAACAAUAUAAAACUCCUUAGCACUGAUUUUUCUGAUUCUAGAAUUGUUCAAAAAAUUCUAGUAACAAUUCCAAAGAAGUUUGAGACGACAAUCUCAUCUUUAGAAAAUUCUAAAGAUUUGUCAAGCAUUACCUUGGUAGAGUUGUUGAAUGCACUACAAGCACAAGAGCAAAGGAGGCUGAUGAGGCAAGAAAAAACUGUAGAGGAUGCAUUCUUUGUCAAAUCCCAAAAUAACAAUGAUGGUAAGAAUAGAAAAAAACAGAACAACAAGUUUGGAGGCUCUGCAUUCAACACCAGAAACAAUAAGACCAGCAAUACUCAAAGCUUUCCACCCUGCCCUCACUGGAAAAAAAACAAUCAUCCUCAGAAUAAAUGUUGGUAGAGACCUGAUGCACGUUGUUUUAAGUGUGGUCAGUUAGGGCACAUGGAAAAGAUAUGCAAGACUCAACAACAACAAACUGAAGCCAAGGUUGCCGAUGAUCAACAUCAGGAGGAGCAUAUAUUUGUGGUAUCAUGUUUAGCCACAAAUAAAUUCACAGAAAACUGGCUCAUCAACAACAAUUGUACAAAUCAUAUGACUCAUGAUGGAAAGCUCUUCACAGAGCUUGAUAGAAAUGUUAUUUCCAAAGUUAAGAUUGGAAAUGGAACUCACCUGAAAGUCGAAGGCAAAGGAACAGUAACUAUUGAAACACACUCACGUUUUAAAUUAAUUUCAAAUGUACUAUAUGUUUAUGAAAUUCAUCAAAACUUGUUAAGUGUUUCUCAACUGCUAGACAUAGGUUAUAAAGUGUUGUUUGAAGAUAAAAGUUGUGUGAUUGAAGAUGUUGAGGGCAUAAAAUUCUUCAAUAUUCAAAUGAAAGGCAAAAGUUUUGUACUGGAUUUUAAAGAAGAGCUGGUUGUUGUACACAAAGAAGUCAAUAAUUCAAUGCUUUGGCAUAAGAGAAUGGGGCAUUAUUGUUAUGAAGCAUUAUUUUUCAUGGAAAAGAACAACAUGGUGAAAGGCUUGCCUAAAUUAGGAAAAGAUUUUCCUAUAUGUGCUGCCUGUCAAUAUGGAAAGCUGUCAAGACUUCCAUUUCAACAAAGCAAAGCCUGGAGAUCUACACAGAAGUUGCAAUUAAUUCACAUAGAUGUUGGAGGACCAAUGAACCCAUCAUCUCUAAAUGGAAGUAAGUACUAUGUUUCCUUCAUUGAUGAUUAUUCCUGAAUGUGUUGGAUUUACUUUAUGAAAUUCAAAGCGGAAGUUGCUAAUAUAUUUGGAAAAUUCAAAGCUUGGAUUGAAACUCAAAGCAACUACAAAAUUCAGGUAAUCAGAUCCGAUAAUGGAAGUGAAUACACUUCUGAAAAAUUUAACAGAUUUUGUGAAGAUGCAGGCAUUGAACACCAGCUAACAGCACCAUAUUCUCCACAACAAAACGGUGUUGUGGAAAGAAAAAACAGGACAGUGAUGGAGAUGACUAGAUGUUUGCUUUAUGAUAAAGGACUAUCCAAGAAAUUCUGGGAUGAGGCAACUAAUACAUUAGUAUUCUUGUUGAAUAGAUUGUCAACAAAAGCCUUGCAGACAAGGACUCCAUUUGAAGCCUAGUUUGGCUACAAACCAAAGCUAAUUAAUCUAAAGAUAUUUGGUUGUUUAUGUUUCUCUUAUAUUCCUCAAAAUAAAAGAGACAAACUGGACAAGAAGGCUGAAGCUGGGAUUUUUGUAGGCUACAGUGCUGUUGCAAAAGCCUACAGAAUCUACAUACCUCAAAGAAACAAAGUAAUCAUCAGCAAGGAUGUUCAGUUUUUAAAAUCUAACAGCUGGGAUUGGAAGGAUGAAAAGCAGAUUGAAGAUCAAAAUCAGAAGAAUGAAAUAGAUGAUGAACUUGUGAAAGGAACUAGAACUCUUGCUUACAUCUAUCAAAGAUGCAAUGUUGCUGCAAUAGAACCUGCAAAUUAUGAAGAAGCUGCAACUGAGCAAAAAUGGUUAGAUGCAAUGGAGGAGCUAAAGACGAUUGAAAAGAGUCAAACGUGGGAAUUGGUGGACAGAGCUCAACAAAAAAAAAGCCAUAGAAGUCAAAUGGAUUUUUAGAAUCAAAUUGAAUUCUAAUGGUUCUGUGAAAUAAAUGCAAGGCAAGGCAGGUUGUCAAGGGAUAUGCUCAGAUGUUUGGGGUGGAAUUUUCUGAAACAUUCGCUCCAGUUGCAAGGAUAGAUAUAAUAAGAAUGUUGUUGGCACUUGCUGCACAAAAAGGCUGGACUUUACAUCAAAUGGAUGUCAAGUCAACUUUUUUGAAUGGUUACUUAGAGGAAGAAAUCUUUGUUGAAUGACCUGAAGGUAUUUCUAUUGCAGGACAAGAGAAUCAGGUAUAUCAACUAAAAAAAGCCUUAUAUGGCUUAAAGUAGGCUCCAAAAAGUUGGUACAGCAGGAUUGAUGCUUACUUGCAGAACUUAGGCUUUAUAAGAAGUCUAAGUGAAUCUAUUCUUUACAUUAAAGGAGCUGAAGGACAGAUACUUGUUGUAUCUCUUUAUGUUGAUGAUUUACUAAUAAUAGAAAGCUGUAGAGAGCAAAUUGACAAGUUCAAAUAAGAGAUGAAGUCUGUUUUUUAAAUGACAGACCUUGGAGGGAUGACAUUCUUUCUUGGCAUGCAAAUAUUUCAAAAAAAAAUGAAAUAUUCUUGUGUUAGCACAAAUAUGCAAAGGAAAUUCUCAAGAAGUUCAACAUGGAACAAUGCAAGCCUACUACAACACCAAUUAAUCAAAAGGAGAAGUUCUACAAGGAGAUGGAGCUGGAAAAGUGGAUGAAAAGCUAUACAAAAGCCUAAUAGGUUGCCUAAUGUAUUUGACAAUAACAAAACCAGACAUCAUACAUGUUGUAAGUCUAUUAUCUAGAUAUAUGCAUUGUGCAAGUGAAAUUCAUUUUGAAGCAGCAAAGAGAAUCCUCAGGUACAUAAAAGGCAUAGCUAAUUAUGGGAUCAAAUUCAGUCAAGUUGAAAAAUUCAAUCUUCAUGGCUACUCUAACAGUGACUGGGCAGGAAACAUUAAUGACAUGAGAAGCACCUCUGGUUAUUACUUUAGCUUCAAUUCAGGUGUUUUUUCAUGGAGCUCAAAGAAACAAGAAAUUGUUGCUCAAUCUACAGCAGAAGCUGAAUACGUUGUUGUUACUGCCUCCGCAAACCAAGCAGUUUGGAUUAGGAAACUACUAAAAGAUUUGAAUCUGAAGCAAAAUGAAAGCACACAACUGUUUGUGGACAACCAAGCUGCAAUAUCAAUCUCAAAUAAUCCAGUAUUUCAUGGUAGAACAAAACAUUUCAAGAUUAAAAUUUUCUUUCUAAGAGAAGUUCAACAAGAAGGGGAACUGAAGCUGCUUUACUGCAAAACGGAGGAACAACAUGCAGACAUCUUAACAAAAGCACUUCCCAAGCUCAAGUUUGAGUAUUUGAGACAGAAGUUAGGAGUUUACAGCUUCAGAGUCAAUGAGGAGAAUUGUUGAUCAAGAAUGACUCUAGAAGCAAAAUAAAAUAUCAGUAGAAUUGAGUUUGUUUACAGUAUCAGAGUUUGUUGCUAUUUUAAUGGCUAUCUUUUAUUCUAUGUAACAGAAAAUCAGAUAUGUUUUGAGAAUAUCUUGCAAUUCUGUUUUUCCUUAUUAUAUAAAUAAUCAUAUUGAAUUCAAUAACAUAUGUGUUCUUUUGCAACUACAAUAAGAAAGUUUUGUUCUCUCUUCAAUAUAUACAACACUUACCCACAUCAUGUUUGUUGUCUCAAAAAGGCAAUCUAUGGCUUGAAACAAGCCCCAAUAGCAUGGUUUCAUCGAUUCACCACAUUCUUACUCACUAUUGGUUUUAGUUGUUGCAAAUCAGAUUCUGGCCUAUUUGUUCAUUCAUCGGCCAAUGAUAUUCUUUAUGUGAUGUUUUGUAUUAAAAAGAUAGGAAAUGGCAACAAAACCCUUGGAGGCUUAAAGAGUAAGUAUAAUUAAAUGAGGGGUAGUGUGGUAAUUGAACAAUAGUUGAUAAAUAUAAAUAGAAAGAAAAAAAAGAUCUGAAUAUUUUGAGAGAGAACCGGCAGGAGUGAAGGGAGAAGAAAAGGGGAUGAAGAAGAAGAGAAAAGAGGGAAAUUAGAAGAGAAAUAGAAAGGAAUUGAAGAAAUAAGUAGUAAGAUUUAGGUUGUUAAAUGUAUAAAUGUAUGUUAAUUGAACUUUAAUUUCAGUUUUGAUGAAUGUUAGGGUUUUGAAAAUUUAUGUUUUUGGGUUUAUUGAUGAAUUAAAUUGAAUGUUAUGGGUUGAUUAUUAUGGGUAAUUGAUUAUUUAGUUGAUUAUGGAAGAUUGUAGAUAAAAAUGAUGAUUUUGAGUUAUGAUUUUGUUUGAAAGGUGAAUUUGUGUUAGAAAUCAGGAAAGAACAGUGGGUUUUCUGUUGAAAUUCUGGGUUGGAGGUUGAAGAUGACAAAAUUUCGGUUUGGUCCCUCAAUUUUGGAAAAUUACAGUUUAGUCCCCAAACUUUGGAAAAUUAUAGAUUGGUCCCUGGAGUAUAUUCCGAGAUUCUGGACAGAAUAAAAGAUGAAUUAUGGACAGAAUUCCAGUAUAGUUAUGAAUUUUUAACACUUUCAAUUUGGUCCUCCAAUUUGACAAAAAUUACCAUUUGACCCUAAAAAUUUGGAAAAAUUCUAGAAUGGUCCCUGGAGUAUAAUGAGAUAUUCUGGACAGAAUUGAAAAUUAAUUAUGGUAAUAAUUUCAGUAUAGUCAUGGAUUUAUGAUAUUUUUAGUUUGGUCCUUCAAUUUGACAAAAAUUACAAUUUGACACUAAAAAAUUGAAAAAAUUCUAGAAUGGUCCCUGGAGCAUAAUGAGAUAUUUUGGACAGAAUUGAGGAUUAAUUAUGGUCAUAAUUUCAGUAUAGUCAUGGAUUUAUGAUAUUUUUAGUUUGGUCCUUCAAUUGGACAAAGUUACAAUUUGACCCUUAAAAAUAUGAUAAAUUCAGAUUGGUCCCUAACUAUAAUAUUACCUUUUGCAUAUUGGUUUGAUGAAUAAUUGAGGGUUAUUUAGUGAAUUAUUACUAAUUUUAUUAUUUAUUUUUAUUAUGGAAUAGAUUUCGGGAAAACCGUUAAAUUUUGGGUUUUUGGGAAAAUUGACUAGUUAGUUUAAAAACAUAUAGGGUUAUGGAAUACACUCUUAGAUAAGUGUAUUAAAUAGGUUAUAUGUUCUUUUGGGUCAUUCUUGAAUAUGUCUCAUUUGUAUUCAGAUAAUCCUGAUAUUCUACCGGCGGGUCAUUAGUAGGAUUUCCAUCGGUAUCUGCUUUUGAGUGUGACACAAUCAAAGAGUUGAUGUCUUAUCUCAAGUGCAGGAGUGUCGAAGUAAUAAAUAACUCGACAAGACCAGGGUCGAACCACAGGGAGGUCAAUUAUAUAAAUUACAAAUAAAGAGAAAGAUUUGAAGAGAAUAAUAACAGAAAAGGAGUUGAAGAGAGUUUUGGGAAGUUUUAUUAGUGUAAGGAUUAAACAAUGAUAAAACAGAUGUCAAAAUUAGAGGAUUCACUAAUGGUAUUUCAAAUAAAUAUAAUCCAGCUAAUAACAGAUGUUUUAUAAAUAACUCUUUUUAUUACUCAAUUGGAAACCACACACAAAAGAGGUUCCAAUCGGAUGAUUUAUCGUUAUUAGCUCAUUAUAAAUUAUUAACAUGAUCAUAUUAAUCAUCUUAUCUAAAUAACACCAUACUUAUAAAUAUCAUCAGGCAUUCAUGUUGCUAGCUUAUGUUAACAACAAAUCAAGUUCCUAUCAUAACAACGAUGUCGGCCGAAAACUAUGAAGGAUCAAGCAUUUGAUGUACCAAGUGUUAUACAACACAAAUCUAGAUUAACCAUUUAACAAGCAAGGUGUUAAGAAUUAGUAAGAUAAAAAGAUAAGACAUGCUAAUAACAAUUUUUCUUGGAUAUAAACAUUAAAGUCCAUGUUGAGUUUAUAUUAUACCUAUUCUAACACCAUUAGUGAAACCUUUUCACCUUGACAUAAUUAACUUAGCUAAACAUAAUGAAGAAGAAAAACAUAAAUAAACAAUACAAGAACAUAAACAUGAUAUAAGUUAACUAAGUAUAGGAAAGGAAAUGAAAAAGCAUAAACAAGAGAUUAAUAUAGCAUGAAAGAAAACUUGAACAUUACAAAGAUAUAAAGAGAGAAAGCAAGAACAUGAUUUUGAUCUGAAAAAUAAUAUGACUAAAUACAUGGCAAAUGCCUCCUUUUAUAGGCUAAGAUUCAGAACUAUUGAUUGGCAGGCAACUAUUGAUUUGGUGGCUGGUUCUUGACAUUGUUGGCUGCUGGUUCUUGAUAUUGUUGGCAGAUUUUUGAUAUUGUUGGCUGGCCAAAAUGUCAUUGCUAACAUCAUAAUUUGAGCCCUUUGUUCCAUGAAAGCUGUGGGAAAUUGUCUCAGCUUUCCAACAAAAAAAACCAGAGCUCAUUUGGACUUCUAGAACUCAAGAUAUGAGCUGAAAACCGAACAGUGUUUGAGCUGCAAGACAGGUUCCAACUUCUCCGUUGUUGCUAAGAUUUGAACUUUUAAAUGGCAGAAUUGAGUCUUGAACUCUUCAUGAAAGUUUUAGGUCUAUGUCUUAUCUUUCCAUCCAUAUAAAGUGGACCUAAAUCCGAGUUCUACAACUCCAGUUAUGAUCAAAUAACCGAAUGGUGUUCCAGUUUGAAAUUGAACCAGCAUCUCUUCUCUUAGCCUAGUCCUCUUUUUGUCUCUUCACUUUCAAUAGUUAAUCACAUCAAUCAAUCCUUUGAAUUGUGAGAUAUACCUGCAUUCAAAACAAGCAUUUACCAUAAAUUAAAGAUAUAUUAUAUUAUUAGACUUGUUAUUAUAAAACAUGCUUUAGUUAGGGAAUUUAACGAUACUUUAGUGCAAUAUGAUGAUAUAAAGCCUUAAUGAGAAUGCACUUUUAAGUACUAAUCACACCCCCCCCCAACCAGCUUAUUACUAGUCCCUAGUAAUCAAAGCGUUAAAAUAUAAAAACAAUUUGCAAGUUCCACAAAGCAAGGUAUUCAUCAUUUAACUUCCAUUAAUCUAUCCAAAUAAAUAAACUCUCAUUAAAUUUAUAUAUCUGCUUCAUGCUUCUUAAACAAGAUAUUAAUAAACCUUCUUUUUGUGCUCAAUAAAUCAAAACAUAGCUAUGGAGCUUUUCAUGGAAGAAAACAAAAUUUUGUUCCAAUGUUUAAGGUUAACUUCCUUGGGUUGGGAUUAUUAUCUCUUUUUUUUUUAAAAAAAAGCAAGAAUUUAUAACACAAUGUAUCUUGAACCCAUGUAACGAGCUUUUAGCUAAUAACUCCCAGACCAGUUGGUCUUAGGGCAUCAGGUGUUGAGACACCCCUACGAGCUUAGUAACUCGGGUUGCAGAUACUGAUACGUAGAUAGUGCAAUGUUUGAUUCCCUUAAAAUUUUCUCCGUAACCCAUGUAACAAGCACUGGGCCAAUAGCUCCCAAGUCAGUUGACUUUAGGGUACUAGGUGUUAAAACACCCCUUCGGGCUUAAUUGCUUAAGUCAAGGAGGCUACAAAACCAAACUUAUCUACUUUUUUAUUUAUUCAAUUUGUUUUUGUUUUUUUUUUUGUUUUGUUUUUUUUUGCAAAUUAUAUACUAUCCAUUUCCCUUAGUUGUUACCUUUAACAAAAGAACAUGAAUAAUGUAAUAAUCCAAUAUGCAACCCACAAUCAUAUGUUAAAGUGUGUGUGUGAAAAUGAAGGUUUAGGAAUACUUGUUAACUGAGUAUAUCAGCAGAAUCAAGUGAUAGCAAUGCGAGAGUUUGUGAACCUGAAUAUUUCAAGAAGUAUUAUGAUAGACCUUGUUAAGAAUGUUUACUAAGAUGCGUCUCAAGAGUCACUAAAGUUCAUCCUUUACUCUGCCAUCCUAGUAACAACAGGUUUGCAAAUGGUUGUAAUAAUAGAAAACACAGUUAGUUAAUUUUUUUUUUAAUAUCAACUACUACCCUCUCCCCCCAACCAAAACGAGACAUUGUCCUCAAUGUUCUAAGGCAGAAAGAUAGAGUAUAGAAGACAUCACCUGAAACAACGACUAUUGACAAACCUGAAACACACUUAAACAAAUAUAAGAAAGAACAAAACACAAAUAUUAUGUGAUUAAUAAAACCAAAAGACACAAGUUUUCACAAACUAAGGCUCAAAUCCAAUCUAAGCUUUUUACGACGUUCCGUGAUUGACCAAUUGAGUCGACUCAUAAAGGAAUCAACUACAGGGAUGAAAGAUUGAAGUUCAUCAAUCAAUUGUUCAGCAGUAGCAGUAGAGAUGAGGAUUUGUCAUGCUAAAAAUGUUAGAAAUUGUUGUUCCACAGCAUGAUCAAGAAAAGACAGUAAAGUAUUAUAAAAACCAUUAACAUUUAGCAAACCUAUAGGUUUCUGGUGAAUGUUCAGCUGAGCCCAAGAGGAAAUAUGAAAUAUCUCUUCUAAAGUGCCCAGACCACCUGGUAAAGCAAUAAAGGCGUCAGCAUAGUUAAACAUUACAGACAGUCGUUCAGACAUUGUGGAGACCUGUAGUUCCUCUUCGAUUGUUUUUCCAAUGAUGUCCCCUUCGGCUAAAGCUGUGGGGAUGACCCCCAAAACUUGAUUGCCUCCUAAAAAUGCAGCAAUUGAAACACCCCUCAUUAACCCAAGGUUGCCUCCCCCAUACACUAAAUGAAUCUUUUGCUCAGCUAGUACCCGACCAAGAUGAUAUGCUGAUUCUAAAAACUCUUUUUCUUUCCCAGGACUGGAUCCACCAAAAACACAAAUAUUUUUUUAUUUUAGGAACAUAGGAACCUGCCAUGUCUACACACUUCUAUAUUUGUUGAAUGAAUGGGUUGAGUAGAAAUGAUGGGAAGGAAGAGAAGAUUUUAUAGAUGAGAAAUUAAAAAUGCAAUCAUACCACCUAUAUGUAGGCUAGCUGGAGUCUCACUCUCUCUCUCUCUCUCUCUCUCUCUCUUGUUUUUUUUUGUUUUUUAAAACAUGUGUAUGUACAAGCAGUUGUGAUUGUGGCUCACAUCUUCCCUUGGUUUUGCGUCCAAGAAUGACUUAAACGCCCUCUAUGGGUCGGGGAUAGGCUUCCCAUCCAGUUUUCUUAAAAACUGACAAACAGGGUCUUUUUUAGUCAAAUUCCCAAGACUAAGUCGAUCAUGUUCUUUAUGAAAAUGAGGCCAUAAAUCAUGAAUUACACGAUGCACAUCUCCACUAGGAUGCGUCUCAAGAGUUAAUAAAAGAUUAUCUAAAGACUCCUUACUCAGACCAUCCUUAAUGAAUUGUAUUUUAUCUUCACGGUUUAUAGAUACCAUUCCUGAAGAACGACAUUUUGCAUUACAAGUCCAUCUGGCACAUCGGUGACAGACUUUCAGUCGUUUUGCACGAUGUUUCCUUGCAAAAGUGCUUUUACCUGUCCCAGGCAUGUAUGAAAUAAAAGUAUUGGAAGACUCACCAGAUAAUCGGACCUUUGCUUCAAUUAGCCAGCGAAUAUCUUCAGGAAUUCCAUGGUUCAUUAACAACCUCAAUCUUUCACACCUAGCAUGGUAAAUUUUUGUAAUCGCAUUUUGAGGCAGAGCGGGAAAAUACUUUUUUAAUGUUUCAAGAGUGGUGUCCAUUUUUCAAAAGAGAAGUGUAGAAGAGAUGCAAAGAAAAGAGAAGGAACAAGGAAUUGAACAAAUAUAUACAUAGAUAUCAGUUAUCAUGGGAAACUGAAAGAACCGACUUAAGAGUCACGGAGUACCGUUAUCCGCAAUUUGACCAGGGUUGGAGAAAGACUAGCAAAACAAGAGUCACACCAAAAAGAAACACAAAAACAAUGUGAGAAAAACAAAAUAAUCAACCUUUAUAUACAGGAUCAUUCAAACCAAUGGAUUCAUUUUCACUAGGAAAAUUAUCAAAGUAAGCUUUCAAGCGAUGUCCAUUUACCUUAAAAACAUUUUCAUUCUUUGGAUUCUCAAUAUCAAGGGCCCCACAAGGAUACACAUGUUUCACAAUAAAUGGACCGCUCCAUCUUGAUCUUAGCUUUCCAGGAAAUAAAUGGAGUCGAGAAUUAUAAAGCAAAACUUUUUGACCAACAUCAAAUGUUUUUCUCAAGAUUCUCUUAUCAUGAAACUCUUUGAUUCUUGCUUUAUGAAUUUUUGAAUUUUCAUAUGCAUCAUUUCUUAUUUCCUCAAGCUCAUUUAUUUGCAACUUACGCAGAUGGCUAGCAUCAUCCAGGUUUGAAUUGAAAGCUUUAAUAGCCCAAUAAGCUUUGUGUUCAAGUUCCACAGGCAAAUGACAAGGUUUUCCAUAAACCAACCUAUAAGGUGACAUACCUAAUGAUGUUUUCAAAGCAGUGCGAUAAGCCCAAAGUGCAUCAUUAAGUCUUAAAGACCAGUCCUUCCGAUUAGGGUUCAUUGUUUUUUCCAAGAUUUGUUUGAUCUCCCUAUUAGCAAGUUCUACUUGUCCAUUUGUUUGAGGGUGAUAAGGGGUGGCAACUUUGUGUGUGAUUCCAUAUUUCUUCAUUAAAAACUCAAAUGGCUUGUUACAGAAAUGUGUUCCACCAUCACUUAUCAUGACCCGAGGGAUUCCAAAUUGACUCAAAAUAUUUUCUUUCAAAAACUUGAUCACUGUUUUAUGAUCAUUGUUACGACUUGGAAUUGCCUCUAUCCAUUUUGAAACAUAGUCUAUUGCGACUAAUAUGUACACAAAACCAAAUGAUGGAGGAAAUGGACCCAUAAAAUCUAUACCCCAACAGUCAAAGAUUUCAAUGACAAGAAUAGUAUUUAAAGGCAUCAUGUGACGUUUUGAAAUAGAUCCUAGCUUUUGACAAUUUUCACAAGUUUUGCAGAAUGCAUGCGUGUCUUUGAACAUGGUGGGCCAAUAAAAUCCACAUUGUAAGAUUUUUGCAGUUGUCUUUCUUGAUGAGAAAUGACCCCCACAUGCCUCAGAAUGACAAAAUUUAAUGACACUACUUACCUCAUUGUCGGGAAUGCAUCUUUGAAAUAUUUGAUCAGGACAAUAUUUGAAUAAGUAAGGGUCAUCCCAAUAAAAGUUCUUCACUUCGUUCAAGAACUUUCUUUUAUCUUGGGUACUCCAAUGAGCUGGCAAAUAUCCUGAAACAAGAAAAUUAACAAUAUUAGCAAACCAAGGCAUCGUAGAGACAGAAAGUAAAGAUUCAUCAGGAAAGUAGUCAUUGAUUGGUGUGAUGUCAGAUCUCGAAUCAGUUCUCAAUCUUGACAAAUGAUCCGCGAUAAUAUUUUCGAUGCCUUUCUUAUCCUUGAUUGGGAUAUCGAAUUCUUGAAGUAACAAAAUCCACCGUACCAAUCUAGCCUUAGAAUCCUUCUUAGAAAGAAGAUAUUUCAACGUUGUAUGAUCGCUAAAAACAAUAACAGGUGAGCCAACAAGAUAAGAUCUGAAUUUUUCACAUGCAAAUUCUACUGCAAGUAAUUCCUUUUCAGUGGUAGUGUAAUUCAUUUGAGCACUACUUAAAGUUUUACUUGCAUAGUAAAUCACAUAGGGUUUCUUAUCUUUUCUUUGUCCUAAAAUAGCACCCACGGCAUAAUCACUAGCAUCACACAUUAUUUCAAAAGGUAAUGACCAAUCAGGAGGUUGAAUGACAGGAGCAGAAGUAAGCAAGUUUUUAAGUUUAACAAAGGCUUCUUCACAAUGUUCAGUCCAUUUAAAAACAUUAUCCUUUGUUAAAAGGUUACACAAUGGCUUAGAUAUUACACUAAAAUCUUUGAUGAACCUUCUAUAAAAACCAGCAUGUCCUAAGAAUGAUCUAACAUUUUUAACAGAUUUUGGUGUUGGCAAGUUGGCAAUUAACUCGAUUUUAGAUUUGUCAACCUCAAUUCCUAUUGAUGAAACAAUGUGACCAAGUACAAUGUCAUUUGUUACCAUAAAAUGACAUUUUUCCCAAUUCAGCACAAGAUUCUUCUCUUCACACCUGUUCAAAACCUUUUCCAAGUUAGUUAAACAAUCAUCAAAUGAAUCACCAAAAACAGAAAAAUCAUCCAUAAAAAUCUCAAGAAAACGUUCAACCAUAUCACUGAAUAUGCUGAGCAUGCAUCUUUGAAAUGUGGUUGGUGCAUUACAUAAUCCAAACGGCAUCCUACGGUAUACAAAUGUACCAAAUGGACAUGUGAAAGUAGUUUUCUUUUGAUCUUCAAAUGCAAUUUCAAUUUGGUUAUUACCUGAAUAGCCAUAUAGAAAACAAUAAAAUUCAUGACCUGCAACUCUUUCUAGAAUUUGAUCCAUGAAAGGUAAAGGAAAAUGAUCUUUUCUAGUCAUUGAAUUAAGUUUCCUAUAGUCAAUGCACAUGCGCCAACCAGUAAUAGUCCUAGUUGGAAUUAACUCAUUCUUCUCAUUUGUUAUCACAGUAACUCCAGACUUUUUAGGUACAACUUGGGUAGGACUUACCCAUUUGCUGUCAGAAAUAGGAUAAAUGAUUCCAUUAUCUAGAAGCUUAAUGACUUCAUUCCUCACUACUUCUUUCAUGUUAGGAUUAAGCCUUCGUUGCAUUUCUCUAGAGGGUUUAGCAUUUUCCUCCAAAUAAAUCUUGUGUGUGCAAAUCAAAGGACUAAUUCCUUUUAUGUCAGCUAUGGUCCAUCCUAAUGCAUUUUUCUGCAUUUUCAGAGUUUGUAAUAACUUACCUUCUUGAUGAACAUUAAGUUUGGAAGAAAUUAUUACUGGAAAAGUUUUAUUUUCUCCUAAAAAUGAGUAUUUGAGAUUAAAUGGUAAUGGCUUCAAAUCGGGUUUUGGUGGAUGAACACUUGAAGGUAUGGACUCAAUUGAUCGUGGUGGCAAUUCCUUAAUUUUUGGUCUCCAACUAUUUGCCUUUGAUUCUUCCUGAAAAUAAACCAUUUGCAAAUCUUCAAAUUCAUUAAACUCAGUUUCACUGGAAGAAUUUUCAAAUUGAUCAUAAAUUAAAUUUUCAAUAAAAUCUACUUCCUAUAAAUCAUUAUCAUCUCCAGGUUGCUUGCAAAUGUUAAAAACAUUCAUCUCCAAUGUCAUGUUUCCAAAAGAUAACUUCAUCACUCCAUUCCUACAAUUAAUCAAUGCAUUAGAAGUUGCAAGAAAUGGACGUCCUAAAAUAACAGGAAUUGAAUUGCAUGCUUCAACAGGUUGUGUAUCCAAGACAAUAAAAUCCACAGGAAAGAUGAAUUUAUCAACUUGUACUAACACAUCUUCAACUAUUCCUCUAGGCACUUUUAUAGAUCUAUCAGCAAGUAAAAGAGUUACAGAAGUAGGUUUUAACUCACCUAAAUUGAGACUGAAAAACCGAAUAUAGAAGUAAAUUCACACUAGCUCCAAGAUCAAGUAAAGCUCUAUCAAUUUUAUGUUCUCCAAUAAAGCAAGAAAUUGUAGGACAACCAGGGUCUUUAUAUUUCAAAGCAUUAUCGUUCUGAAGAAUGGCACUUACUUGUUCGGCUAAAAAGGCUUUCUUUUUCACAUUCAGUUUUCUCUUCACAGUGCACAGAUCUUUCAAAAAUUUAGCAUAAAACGGUACCUGUUUAAUAGCAUCUAACAAAGGUAUAUUGAUCCUUACCUGUUUGAAAGUUUCAAAGAUUUCAGAAUUGUGAUUGACUUUUCUUUGUUUGGUCAUGGCAUGAGGAAAUGGAAGUGCUGGUGGGGAAUCAGUCUCCUCCUUGCAAUGUUCAAGUUCAACCAUUUCCUUACCCUCAGAGACUAACUUAUCUUCUUUCUCACAAGGUUCAAGAACGAGUUUUUCAAUAACUUUACCACUGCAGAGAGUAGUGACUGAUUUGACUUGAUCCAUAUGUUGGCUUCCGGAACUGCUUGCACUUGAAUUGUAUUGCCCUUUGGGAUUUUGCUGGGGUUGAGAUGGAAACUUACCUUUCUCCUGAAAACUAAGAGCAGAUGUGAACUUUGCAAGAGUAUCUUUUAGAUCUGCCAUGGUUUGAGCAUUUUGAGUGUUAAUUGUCUCUUGAUUUUCAAUGAAUGCAUGCAGUGUUUCCUCAAGAUUUCUUCUAGGAGGGGGAACAUAAAGAGGUGCAUAUCCAUGAGAAUUUUGAAAAUUAUGUUGUGCUUGAAAUGGUGGCUGUGAAGUUUGUGCAUUAUUGUUACCACUCUUCCAACUGAAAUUUGGGUGAUUUCUCCAACCAGGGUUAUACGUUUGCGAGUAUGGGUUAUGACUUGGCCUUUGGAAACUAUUUAAAGCAUUGGCUUGUUCAUGGAGACAUUCCUUAAAAGAAGGCAAAGUUGGACAAUCAUUGGUUGAGUGUUUAUUAGUUUCACAAAUUUGACACACAAUUUCUUGAACAGAUUUUAAUUGUCCACUCUUUUUUAAUUCUAGUGCCUCAACUUUUCUAGCUAAAGAUGCAAAUUUAGCUUGGAGGUCAUGAUCUUCCCUAAGGUUGUACAUGCCUCCAUUAGAUGUAUGAGGUUGAGUUUUACCUGGUGCCUCACACGUACCUGUGGUGUCCUAAUUUUGAGCAUUUUCAGCUAGCAAGUCUAGGUACUCCAUUGCUUCAUCAGGGUCUUUAUCUUCAAAAGUUCCAUUGCACAUCAAUUCCACCAUUUGCCUAUCUUUAGGUGUUAACCCUUCAUAAAAUUGUGAGACCAAUCUCCAUGUUUCAAAACCAUGAAGAGGACAGGUAUUAAGCAAGUCUUUAUAUCUAUCCCAACACUUGUAAAAUGUUUCUCCUGGUUUUUGAGUGAAAGUGGUGAUUUGUCUUUUGAAAGAAUUUGUUCUGUGAGACGGAACAAACUUCUUUAAAAACUGUUGUUGCAUUUCAUCCCAAGCACGAAUGGAUCCUGACCUAAUAUUUUGUAGCCAUGUUUUAGCUUUAUCUUUUAAUGAAAAAGGAAAAAGCUUUAAUCUGAUGGUGUUCAUGCUACAAUUUUAAGUCAUUAUAGGUGUUACAAACUUCUUCAAAUUCUCUUAAAUACAAGUAUGGAUUUUCUAAUUCUAAGCUAUGAAAAGUGGGUAAAAGUUGAAUAAUACCUGGCUUAAAAUUAAAAUGAGAAGCAUCAGGAGGAAAAACUAUACAUGAUGGUGCACUUGUUCUUGUUGGAUUCAUGUGAUCUUUAAGUGUUCUCACACGAUUAUUCUCAUUAUUCUCAUUAUGAAUUGACUGGUUAUCUUCUUCGGCCAUGUUUUCUAAAGAAAAUGAGGAUUUCCUAGAAAGUCUACCACUUAAUGUACGUGUCCAAACUCUCAUGCAAGUGCAAAAGAAAAGAAAAGAAAAAGAAAAAGAAAAAGAAAAAGAACAAAAAUUAGAAAAACAAAUAAAAGUAAAAAACAAAAGAAAAUAAAAGAAAUAUAAAAUUUAUACAAUACUUACCUCCCCGGCAACGGCGCCAAAAACUUAACACGAUCAAAGAGUUGAUGUCUUAUCCCAAGUGCAGGAGUGUCGAAGUAAUAAAUAACUCGGCAAGACCGGGGUCGAACCACAGGGAGGUCAAUUAUAUAAAUUACAAAUAAAGAGAAAGAUUUGAAGAGAAUAAUAACAGAAAAGGAGUUGAAGAGAGUUUUGGGAUGUGAUAUUGGUGUAAGGAUUAAACAAUGAUAAAACAGAUGUCAAAGUUAGAGGAUUCACUAAUGGUAUUUCAAAUAAAUAUAAUAUAAACUCUGUUUAUUACUCAAUUGGAAACCACACACAAAGGAGGUUCCAAUCGGAUGAUUUAUCGUUAUUAGCUCAUUAUAAAUUAUUAACAUGAUCAUAUUAAUCAUCUUAUCUAAAUAACAUCAUACUUAUAAUUAUCAUCAGACAUUCAUGUUGCUAGCUUAUGUUAACAACAAAUCAAGUUCCUAUCAUAACAACGAUGUCGGCCGAAAACUAUGAAGGAUCAAGCAUUUGAUGUACCAAGUGUUAUACAACAAAAAUCUAGAUUAACCAUUUAACAAGCAAGGUAUUAAGAAUUAGUAAGAUAAAAAGAUAAGACAUGCUAAUAACAAUUUUUCUUGGAUAUAAACAUUAAAGUCCAUGUUGAGUUUAUAUUAUACCUAUUCUAACACCAUUAGUGAAACCUUUUCACCUUGACAUAAUUAACUUAGCUAAACAUAAUGAAAAAGCAAAACAUAAAUAAACAAUACAAGAACAUAAACAUGAUAUAAGUUAACUAAGUAUAGGAAAGGAAAUGAAAAGGCAUAAACAAGAGAUUAAUAUAGCAUGAAAGAAAACUUGAACAUUACAAAGAUAUAAAGAGAGAAAGCAAGAACAUGAUUUUGAUCUGAAAAAUAAUAUGACUAAAUACAUGGCAAAUGCCUCUUUUAUAGGCUAAGAUUCAGAACUAUUGAUUGGCAGGCAAAUAUUGAUUUGGUGGCUGGUUUUUGACAAUGUUGGCUGCUGGUUCUUAACAUUGUUGGCUGCUGGUUCUUGAUAUUGUUGGUAGAUUUUUGAUAUUGUUGGCUGCUGGUUCUUGAUAUUGUUGGCAGAUUUUUGAUAUUGUUGGCUGGCCAAAACAUCAUUGCUAACAUCAGAAUUUGAGCCCUUUGUUCCAUGAAAGUUGUGGAAAAUUGUCUCAGCUUUCCAACAAAAAAAACCAGAGCUCAUUUGGACUUCUAGAACUCAAGAUAUGAGCUGAAAACCGAACAGUGUUUGAGCUGCAAGACAGGUUCCAACUUCUCCGUUGUUGCUAAGAUUUGAACUUGCAAAUGGCAGAAUUGAGUCUUGAGCUCUUCAUGAAAUUUUUAGGUCUAUGUCUUAUCUUUCCAUCCAUAUAAAGUAGACCUAAAUCCGAGUUCUACAACUCCAGUUAUGAUCAAAUAACCGAAUUGUGUUCCAGUUUGGAAUUGAACCAACAUCUCUUCUCUUAGCCUAGUCCUCUUUUUCUCUCUUCACUUUCAAUAGUUAAUCACAUCAAUCAAUCCUUUGAAUUGUGAGAUAUACCUGCAUUCAAAACAAGCAUUUACCAUAAAUUAAAGAUAUAUUAUAUUAUUAGACUUGUUAUUAUAAAACAUGCUUUAGUUAGGGAAUUUAACGAUACUUUAGUGCAAUAUGAUGAUAUAAAGCCUUAAUGAGAAUGCACUUUUAAGUACUAAUCAGAGUGCUGUUUGCUUUUAAGUCAAGUGAGUGGAUAAUUUUCCAUAUGCAUGAGAAAUAUUAUAAAUAGUUGAUUUGUUAAUAUGAAUUGGAUCAUGCUUCUUGAUAAUAUAUAUGUUGAUUAUUAUUCUUAUUAUGAUAAAGCAUGAUCAAUUGUUGAAUCUGGAUUCUUGAUAUGAACCAGUAUAUAUUUUGAAUUGACUUCUGGAUUGAUAGCUCCUCAUUUGAUUGAUGUCAUGAAUUGAGCCUUGAGAUAUGAAUAUGUCUGUUUGAUUAUGAUUAUGAACCUAUGGUAUGUCAGUCAGAAUACCCAUGCUAACAGGGUAGUGUUAGUCUUUGUGCACAUUGUAUCUGAACCCUAGUUGGUCGGGGGAGUCACCAACCUGUGUGGACUGAUCAUCCCACAGUACGGAGCCUCAUGCUCAUUGCAUUUUGAUUUUCUAACGAGCUUUACCUUCUGAUAUUCUUGUUAUGGCCUAUUUGAGAAACUUUCCUAUAAGAACCUAGAGCCAUACUUGUAUAUAUAUUUCUCAUUGUUUUAUUACCUCGUGUGUGUAUAUUAAACGUUAUCUACUCACUGAGUUGUUGAACUCACCCUCUCAUUAUUUAUCAUUUUCAGGCUUAUAGCUUGAUAGCAGGUUACUUUUGUUGGACCUUCAGAACUUGCUCUUUUGGUUGUAAUUUGUACAUUUUCCUUUAUGUCUAGUUAGUGCUCCUAAACUAUGAAAUUAUAUUAACUCUUGUAUUAAGACAAUUAAAUUAUUUUAUGAAGUUAGUUUGUUGUUAAUGCUGCGUUGAACUCUGAUUGACUUAUUUAAAGGAUAAGUUUGUAUGUAAGUUUGGGUUCGCAUAGGUAUGGAAACUUGGAGGGGAACCUUGCCUAUGUGCCGGUCAUGGAUCCAGGAAUCGGGUCAUGACAAACUUGGUAUCAGAGCUUUAGGUUAAAGAAACAUUAGUAUAGUUAAUUUCAUAAUAAGUGGAGCAUUAGGAUAUGUAUCGUUUUAUUUGUUGUUUUUGAUAUUUUAAAUUCUCAUCAAGCAUGUCUUCUUCCUUGUGAUUGAUAUGCUUUCCUAUAAUUCUGUGAUAAUGAUCAUGUUAUUGUUCUAGAAUGACUUAAGUGCUCUAAUUUCUUAGAGGAUAUGCCAAGGAAUAGACAUAAAAUUGAUACUAUUAGAGUAAAUGACAAUAAAGAUGUCCAUAUUGUGAAGUUUCGAAAUGCAAGGUAUAGGAGGCGGGGCAGUACAUCCGCACCUCAACAUAUUCUUAUUGUUAGCUCUUUUAAAGCAAAAAUAUUAUUUAAUACAAGUGCAACUCAUUCGUUUAUGUCUUUAUAUUUUGCCAUGAGGCUAGAUAAGCAACCAACUCUGUUAAGAUCCCCCAUUUCAAUUUCUACUCCCCUUGAUGAAUUAGUGUUGGUGAAGUAUGUGUAUCCGGAUUGUGGAAUAGAGAUUGGAGAUAGGAUCUUUAUAAGAGAUUUAAAUGUCUUAGAUAUGGUUGAUUUUGAUGUGAUUUUGGGAAUGGAUUGGUUGGCAAAGCAUAGGGCUUUGGUAAAUUGUUGGGGUAAGAAAAUAAUGUUUGAUUUAGAUGAAGAAGUUGGGUUGGUAUUUCAAGGAGAUAAGAUUGGGUCUCCAUCAAUUAUGUUGUCAGCUAUCUCGAGGAAAAUAGCCCGAAAAGGGGUACAGUGCUACCUAGCAUAUAUAGUGGAUAUAGAGAAAGAAAUUCCUCAAUUAGACCAAGUCCCUAUAGUUAGGGAGUUUAUUGAUGUCUUUCCCGAUGACUUACUUAGAUUGCCUCCAUAUAAGGAAAUUGAGUUUUGUAUUGAUUUGGUUCUGAGUACCGAACCAAUAUCAAUGGCACCAUAUAGAAUGGCGCCAGCAGAAUUGAGGGAGCUAAAGGAGCAACUGCAGGAUUUGUUGGAUAAAAAGUUCAUCCGACCGAGUGUGUCCCCUUGGGGAGCCCCGGUAUUGUUUGUGAAGAAGAAAGAUGGGUCAUUGAGGUUGUGUAUAGAUUAUAGGCAACUGAAUCGGGUGACAGUUCGAAAUAGAUACCCACUCCCUCGCAUAGAUGAUUUGUUUGACUAGUUGCAGGGAGCUCAAUUCUUUUCUAAGAUCGAUCUUCGAUCUAGGUAUCAUCAGUUGAGGAUAAGAGAGGAGCACAUUUUGAAGACAGCUUUUAGAACUCGGUAUGGUCAUUAUAAGUUCUUAGUGAUGUCUUUUAGAUUGACGAAUGCACCAGCAUCUUUUAUGGAUUUGAUGAAUAGAGUGUUUGGACAGUUUAUUGAUUGAUUUGUGAUAGUUUUUAUUGAUGAUAUUUUGGUGUAUUCGAGGUCUAGAGAGGAGCAUGAGCAGCACUUGAGAAUGGUGCUUCAAACUCUGCGAGAUCAUCAGUUGUAUGGCAAGUUCUCAAAGAGUGAGUUUUGGUUGGAGAGUGUAGCAUUUCUUGUGCAUGUAGUGUCAAGGAAUGGGAUUGAGGUUGAUCCUCAAAAGAUUGAAGUAGUUAAGCAGUGGCUUAGGCCUACUUCGGUGACAGAGAUUGGAAGUUUCUUAGGUUUGGCCGACUACUAUCGGAGGUUUGUAGAGAACUUUUCUCGGAUUUCUGCACCAUUGACUAAGUUAACGCAGAAAAAUAUUAAGUUUCAGUGGUCUGAAGCUUGUAAGAAAAGUUUCUUAGAGUUGAAAGAGAGAUUGACUACAACACCUAUUCUAGUGGUACCAUCAGGUUCUGGUGGUUACACAGUGUAUUGUGAUGCUUCGAGAGUGGGGUUAGGAUGUGUUCUAAUGCAGCAUGGCAAGGUUAUUGCCUAUGCUUCACGGCAGCUGAAGAAGCAUGAACAGAACUAUCCUACACAUGAUUUAGGGAUGGCGGCUGUAAUUUUUGCCUUGAAGAUUUGGAGACACUACUUGUAUGGUGAAACUUAUGAGAUCUUCACAGAUCACAAGAGUUUGAAAUAUAUCUUUCAGCAGAGGGAUCUAAAUCUGAGGCGGAGGAGAUGGAUGGAACUGCUGAAGGAUUAUGAUUGUACCAUACAGUACCACCCGGGUAGGGCAAAUGUAGUUGCUGAUGCUUUAAGUAGAAAAUCAUCAAGGAGCUUAGCUUAUAUUCAGGAGGUACGAAGACCUCUGAUUAGGGAGUUGCAUGAGUUAGUAGAUGAAGGAGUCAGAUUUGAUCUUAGUGAAGCUGGAGCAAUGAUUGCUCACUUUCAGGUUAAGUCAAAUUUGUUUGAUAAGAUAAAAACAGCUCAGAAGAAAGAUGAUUCACUACUCAGGAUCAAAAAUGAGGUUGAGCAGGGUAAGGCUGCAGGUUUUGUGAUAGGUGAUGAUGAUGUGCUGAGAUAUAGGGAUAGGCUUUAUGUACCUGAUGUAGAUGAUCUAAAGAUAGAAUUGAUGGUAGAGGCACAUCAGACAGUUUACACAAUGCAUUCAGGUUCCACCAAGAUGUAUAAAGACCUUAAGGUGUGUUAUUGGUGGAAUAGGAUGAAGGCUGAUAUAGCAGAUUUUGUUUCUAGGUGUUUGACCUGUCAGAGGGUAAAGGGUGAACACCAGAAACCUCCUGGAUUGUUGCAACCAUUUUUUAUUCCGGAAUGGAAGUGGGAAAGGAUCACAAUGGACUUUGUGACAGGAUUGCCUAGGAGUCAGGAGGGUUAUGAUUCAAUUUGGGUGAUUGUUGACAGGUUGACAAAAUCAGCCCAUUUUCUGCCAGUUAAGAUUAGUUAUGGAUAUGCAAAAUUAGCAGAAUUGUUUAUUAGUGAGAUUGUACGGUUGCAUGAAGUGUCAAUCUCGAUAGUGUCAGAUAGAGGUCCAUAGUUUACAUCGCGGUUUUAGGUGAAAUUCCAAAAAGCUAUGGGUACUAAAGUGCAGUUGAGUAUAGCUUUUCACCCUCAGACCGAUGGUCAGUCUGACAAGACUAUUCAGAUCUUGGAGGAUAUGUUAAGGGCUUGUGUCAUGGAUUUUGGAGUUAGUUGGAGUAAGUUCCUACCAUUAGUGGAAUUUGCUUACAACAAUAGUUAUCAGGCUAGCAUAGAGAUGGCACCUUAUGAGGCUUUGUAUGGUUGGAAGUGUAGAUCACCAGUUUGUUGGUUUGAGGUUGGUGAGAAGAGGCUAAUGGGACUAGAGUUGAUUCAGAUUACCUCAGAGAAGAUAGAGGUAAUUAGAAAUAAGCUUAAAACAGCUCAGAGCAGACAAAAGAGUUACGCGGAUAAAAGAAGGCGUGACUUAGAGUUUUCAGUGGGUGAUUGUGUGUUCUUAAAAGUAUCACCGACCAAAGGAGUAUUCAGGUUUGGGAAGAAAGGCAAGUUGAGUCCUCGAUUCAUUGGACCGUAUGAGAUUCUGGAGAGAGUUGAGGCAGUUGCUUAUAGGUUAGUAUUACCACCAAACUUGUCUACUUAUAGUUUAUUGCAGAAAACAUGAAUAUCAUGAUAAUUUUGUAUUUAAAGAUGGAAUUGGGCUUUUCAAUGACUAUGUUGUUCUGUAUAAUAGAAAACUUUUAAUGCAGUACAAUGCACAUAUAAAUGUUGAGAUAUGCUGUCAAUCACUGUUGAUCAAAUAUCUAUUCAAAUACGCCAGCAACGAGCUUGAUAGAUGUAGAAUGGUGCUUCAGAAUGAAACUAAUGAUGAAAUACAUGCAUAUCGUAAUUGUCGAUUUAUCUGCUCCUAUGAAGAUGUUUGAUGUCUUUUCCAAUUUCCAAUUUAUUCAAGAACCCCUACAAUUGAAAGGCUUCAAGGUCAUAUAUUUGCCUUCUCAGCAAAAUGUUAUCUUCUCAAGCAACAACUCUCUUUGUCCUGUUCUUAGAAGGUCAGGUAUCAAUAAAACAAUGCUUACUGAAUGGUUUGACUGCAACAAAAAAUAUGCUCAUGCACGAGAGCUUUACUAAUCACAAUUUCCAAGCAAAUAUGUAUGGGAUGGCGGGCUGAAAGAGUGGGUUGUCAUAUCAAGGAGGUUUAGCCUUGGACGUAUAACAUAUGUGCAUCCUGCUGCUGGGGAACUUUAUUUUUUAAGAAUACUUCUAAACCAUGUGAAAGGGCCUACAGGGCUUGAUGAUUUUAAAAACGUUGGCGGCAUUGUUUGUCCAACAUUUCAGCUUGUUUGCAAGGCAUUGGGUCUUUUAGAUGACGACAAAGAAUGGUCCAAAGCUUAGUGAUCUCAUUCGACGUCAGUGUUUCUCAGAGGCUUCCAUUCUUUGACAACACUCUAGACAUAGUUCAUUCGAUGCAUGUUCUGAGCAACUGGAUUCCAGAUGCGAUGUUGGAAUUCACACUCUAUGAUAUAUACAGAGUGUUGAGGCCAGGGGGACUCUUCUGGCUUGAUCGCUUCUUCUGCCUGGGAUCACAGCUGAAUCAAACAUACGUUCCAAUGUUGGAUCGUGUUGGAUUCAGGAACCUAAGGUGGAACGCUGGCAUGAAGCUUGAACGAGGGAUUGACAAAAACGAGUGGUAUUUCUCUGCCCUGUUGGAGAAACCAAUGACCUGAGCAACAAUUUUUAACACCAUCAAAUCAUGCAAUGCAAUGCACAUGCAUGCAGUUUAGGAAGUAUUUAGUUUACAAAUUUUAUUUUUUUAUUCAGUUUAUACCUAUGAUUAGUAUAAAUAAGGUUGUCUAAAUGAAAUAUUUUAGAUGUUUCCCCAUAGCUAUGAUAUUCAUGGUUUUUAAGGGUUUCGACUUUGUAAUAAAUUCUGUUAUUCAGCGUCGUGAUAAUAAUAAUUAUAAUAUUCACAACUUAAAAGAUUGGAUACAGGACACAGAAAAUGCUCAUCAUUUUACUCUCCUUUGAUUCAAGUGAGAGGUCGAAUCAAGAGAAAUAGAUCAAUAAGUUCAACUGGCAUAAGUUUAAUUUCUAACAUAAUUAAUGCAAGAGCACACAGGAUUUCUUUCACCCAACAUACAAAGGUUUUGCUAAAUAUAUAUUCACAAGUAGUUGACUCUUACAAAUCUGAUGCACCUCACGCGGCAAACAUCGCAAGAAAAUAUUGUAAAACCCAGUACCGAAGCAACUUCUCAUCUUUCCCAGCUAAACAAUGCUCAUCAUGGUUCUAGACUCAAGAUAAUGAAAGCUCUUCUUCCUUCAAGGAUGGUGGAAACUCGUCCUGGCUUGCUUCCUCAAAACUAGCUGAAGUGGAUUCUGCUUCAGCAUUGGGGUUUGAACCAGCAAGAUGCAAGAUAUUCUCAAUCUCUUUCACCACUUCACCCAUUGUUGGCCUGUCACUUCCUUUCUCUUGUACACAUUUCAUUGCCAGAUCCACUAUCUUAUCUAGACCUUUCGGCUUCGUGUCUAAACCAAUGCUUGGGUCAAGAAGUUCAUGAAGGUUAUAUAGAUCUUUUUUUCUAUCCAAUGAGCUACUUACCUCCGCUACAAGGUAUUUCCCUCGCUCUAAAGGCUUUCUUCCACUUACUAGUUCCAGCAACACAACUCCAAAGCCAUAGACAUCACUCUUCUCAGUCAAGAGCAGGGUCUUCUGAUAUUCUGGAUCUAUAUAACCCUAAGCAGAAAAUAUAGUAAUCUUGUCAAUUGUAACCCUUGAUAUAUAAUGGCUUUAAUCAUAGACCAGCCGGCGACCUGCAUUUAAUGAAACUAGAUAGUCUUAAAUUAAUGAUGUUUUGGAGGUACUGACCAUUGUCCCUUUAACUUGAGUGCUAGCAAGAAUAAGCUCACUAUUGUCCAUAGGCUUGGAAAGACCAAAAUCACCAACUUUAGCAUUUAAGCAUUCAUCCAGUAAUAUGUUAGCUGAUUUUACGUCCCUGUGGAUAAUACGAGGGUUGACAAGCUCGUGCAAGUAGGCAAGACCUCUUGCUGCACCAAGAGCCACAUUAAGUCUCCUCCUCCAAUCCAGCCAGAUCCCGCUCAAACCUGCUUACAUGAGAAGAGGAUAUAUAAUUGUGUAGACUUACUACAACUAUAGAAUGCGUGUGCUUAUUUUCGGAACAAAGGCACCAAAGGGUUGUCUCCAUUGGAUGCGAGAGUUGUCAUGAAAAACUCAAUGCUUGUAAGAUUGAAAGGUUCCAUGCGAUUCAUGAAGCAUCUUGUUGAAUCAUUUAUAGGUGCCAGUGCAAUACCUGAUAGGCUGUCCCUGAGACUACCAUUGCGAACAAACUCAUAAAUUAGCAUCUGUUCACCUCUCUCAAAGCAAAACCCAACAAGGUUUACAACAUUUUUAUGAUGAACUCUCGAUAAAACUUCUAUCUCUGCGUUGAAUUCAAGCCCACCUUGCACCGAUCCUUGACGACAUCGUUUGACGGCAAACAGUUGUCCAGUAGGAAGCAUCCCUCUAUAAACCUGUACACAAAAAUGUUGAAAGGUUACUUUCAAAUACUCAUUCUUAAGGUUUGGUAUUCCAUGCCAGCUCAGAAGUUAGAUAGUUCGAAGGCAAAUUGUAACCAGCAACACCCACAAUCAUUGUUUAUGCAAAUGAAACCACCAUGGCAGGACAGGAAAUGAGGGAGAGACUUGCCAUUCCGUAACCCCCUAACCCAAUAUGAUUGGCUUCCGAAAAAUUAUUCGUGCACUUCGUAAUCUCAUUGAAAGAGAAGCAUCUGGCUCCCUUCAACUGAGGAACGCUGUUACUGUUCCUUGAAUCCAAGUAUGCUGCAAUUUGGCAAAAUGAAGAAAAAGAAAUAAACACAAUUUUCAAUGAUGAAUGGGAAAAUAUCAGGUCUAAAAACUAGAACCUUAAAGUACCAAAAUAAUUCUUCUGUUCACUGGCUCUUUCUCUUCUGUUCUUCUGACGAUAAGCACAUACCCCUGCAAGAAGCAAUAGUAGCAGGAAAGAGGCUCCUCCAGCCGCAGCCCCAAUGAUCCUUCCAGUGCUUGAUAACUCUUUUGACAUCGUAGGUUUUCCUGCAUGACAAAGAGGGAGGGAGGGAGGGAGGGAGGAGGAUGUGUCAUCAGAAGAAAGAAAGAACAAUGCAAACCAAUCUCUCACUUGUGCAUGAAAUGUGUAAGUACCAUCGAAGUAUGGAUAUGCAGAACCCUUAAAAUAUGUAGGUCCAAAGAUAUCUGAAUUCUCAUAAGUCUGAAGGGUUAGCACAAAUCCAAUAUCAGAAAUCGUAGCUGUGUUAAAAUGAUUUUGGCCCGACGGAAACAUAGAUAAAUUUGACUCAAGAUACCCAAACGAAUCCUUCGCUGGAAAAUUUACAUCAACUGAAUCCACAGGAAGUUGAUGGAACUUGAAGGAACGCAUCAGAGACUCUUCUUCCAGAUGUACAUAAUAAGUUGAGUUUCUUGACUCUAAAAAUGGAGGUUUGAAGACUAGUACUCCCCUGUAUGGAUACGAGCAUUUGCAAUUGGGACUGGAAAUCUGGUCUGAAAUGCAGUGGAGGGGAACACAUUUCUCUGGUAGCCUCGUAUACGAAGAAUUGGCUUGAGGAACUGUGCAGUAAUUUUCUGUUGCUUCUGGAUGCUCACAAACUGGGUUACCCACAAGUCUGCAAAAUAUAACACAUCAAACACUCUUAUGCAGGCAAGUUGUAUAGCACAUCUCCUCAGGAUUUAACUUUUCCCACUACUAUCGUUGUCACAUUUUAGCAGUCAAGUGGACAAAAUUAAGGAAAAAAGAAUUACAGAGACAUCUCAAAAGUUUGAAGAUAUUAUAAAAACUUUUGUACGAAAAAUGCCGUUAACGUUUGAUAUAUAUUGAAGGGAUGAUUUUCUGUAAUAUCCGAGAGGGACUAUUGUAAUUCAUCCAAAAAACAGGAGGAGGAGAAUGCCUCUUACAUUACAUCCACGUUAUUCCUUCGUUCUGGUGUUUCUGAAUAGAAUGAAGAAAUGAGAUUGUUUCGCAUAUCAAUGACUUUCAGUUGGCUGCUAGAGCUUGUUGCAAUAUCCAAUGUGCCAUUGAGCUGGUUGUUCCUUAGAAUCCUGUAACCAUUUGUGAAUUUAGAUAUCCAUCAGUUUCCAUGAGAUGAAAGAAUCUAUCAAUAUCCAUGAAGUUGAAGAAACAAGGAGAAGGAUGCUCACAAAGUCUGUAAACUAGGAAGAUCGAAGAGUGUAGGAGGAAUCCGACCUUCAAGUCCAGUGUUUUCCAUCAUUCUGUUAUUCACAGGAAGUGAAGAAAGCUUCACUAUGUUGACAGCGUGAAAAAUCAUAAAUUGUAAACUUUUAUACACAGGAAUGCAUAGUCAAUAAGAGGUUCCAUGGACAAAAAUGUCUCUGUCAAAAAACCCAAUGACUGCUUCAUAUAACACUUGCUAAACAUGGAGACAAUUAUAAUCUAGCAUGUAAAGUCAUGAUGCCUGAGCAACAUUUUAAGGGCUAAUUUUAAAGUGGGAUGGUGGAAAGGGUUUGUGAUUCUUGAGAGAAAACAGUUUAGUUAAGGCUUCAUUGAGCUGGUCGAGUGUGUGUGACGACAGAGAGAAAAGUGUCAAGAAACCAUCUCAACCCAAUAGCUUAAGCUAUUAGAUGAGGUUCCAGGAUAUGAUUUAUAUUAUUCUCUAAUACACCCCCUCAAAUAAAAACCCUUUGGGCUUGAAACUUGCAUAGGCUCACAUUACCUUAUACUUAAUUUUUAUCAAAUAAAUGGGGAUGGUGAAAUUCGAACUCGAGACCACUUGGUCAUCAAGGCUCUGAUACUAUGUCAAGAAACCAUCUUAACUGUCACGACCCGAAUCCCGGAUCCAUGACCGGCACAUAGGCAAGGUUCCCCUCCAAGGUUCCAUACCUAUGCGAACCCAAACUUACACACAAACUUAUUCUUCAAAUAAGUCAAUCAGAGUUCAACGCAACAAUAACAACAAAAUUAACUUCAUAAUAUAAUUAAAUUGUCUUAAUACAAGAGUUAAUAUAAAUUCAGAGUUUUGGAGCACUAACUAGACAUAAAGGAAAAUGUACAAAUUACAACCAAAAAGCAGAUUCUGAAGGUCCAACAAAAUGACCUGCUAUCAAGCUAUAAGCCUGAAAAGGAUAAAUAAUGAGAGGGUGAGUUCAACAACUCAGUGAGUAGAUAACGUUCAAUAUACACACACGAGGUAAUAAAACAAUGAGAAAUAUAUAUACAAGUAUGGCUUUAGGUUCUUAUGGAAGUGUUCUCAAAUUGGCCAUAACAAGAAUGUCAUAUGGUAAAACUCGUCAGAAAAUCAAAAUGCAAUGAGCAUGAGGCUCCGUACUGUGGGAUGAUCAGUCCACACAGGUUGGUGACUCCCCCGACCAACUGGGGUUCAGAUACGAUGUGCACAAAGACUAACACUACCCUGUUAGCAUGGGUAUUCUGACUGACAUACCAUAGGUUCAUAAUCAUAUUCAAACAGACAUAUUCAUAUCUCAAGGCUCAACUCAUGACAUCAAUCAAAUGAGGAGCUAUCAAUUCAGAAGUCAAUCCCAAAUAUAUACUGGUUCAUAUCAAGAAUUCAGAUUCAACAAUUGAUCAUGCUUUAUCAAAAUAAGGAUAAUAAUCAACAUAUAUAUUAUCAAGAAGCAUGAUUCAAUUCAUAUUAACAAAUCAAAUAUUUAUACUAUUUCUCAUGCAUAUGGAAAAUUAUCCACUCACCUGACUCGAAAGCAAACAGAAGUCAAAAGCAAAUACUGAAGAAAAUCCUACUGACGUCCCGCCGGUAGAAUAUCAGGAUUAUCUGAAUACAAAGAAGGCAUAUUCAAGAAUAACUCAAAGGAAUAUAUAACCCAUUUAAUACACUUAUCUAAGGGUGCAUUCCAUAACCCUAUAUGUUUUUGAACUAACUAGUUAUUUUUCCUAAAACCCAAAAUUUAACGGUUUUCCCGAAAUCUAAUCCAUAAUAAAGCAAAUAAUAAAACUUGAUAAUAAUUCACUAAAUAACCCUCAAUUAUUCAUCAAACCAAUCUGAAAAGGCUAAUAUUACAGCUAGGGACUAAUCUGUAAUUUAUCAUAUUUUUAGGGCCAAAUUGUAAUUUUUGUCUAAUUGGAGGACCAAACUGAAAUUUAUCAUAAAUCCAUGAAUAUACUGAAAUUCUGACCAUAAUUAGUCCUCAUUUCUGUCCAGAUCAUCUCAUUAUACUCCAAGGACCAUUCUGGAAUUUUACCAAAUUUUUAGGGUCAAAUUGUAAUUUUUGUCAAAUUGAAGGACUAAAUUGAAAGUGUUAAAUUCUCUUAUCUAUACAGUAAUUCUGUCCAUAAUUCAUAUGUUAUUCUGUUCAGAAUCUCGGAAUAUGCUCCAGGGACCAAUCUGCAAAUUUUCCAAAGUUUGGGGACUAAACUGUAAUUUUCCAAAAUUGAGGGACCAAAUUGAAUUUUCGUCAUCUUCAACCUCAAACCCAGAAUUCUCACAGAUUACCUACUGUUCUUGCCAAAUUUAUAACUCAACAUUCACCAUUUACACAAUUCAUAACUCAAAAUCAUCACAAUCUUCCAUAAUCAACUCAUUAAUCAAUUACCCAUAACAAUCAACCUUAUAACAUUCAAUUUAAUUCAUCAAUUAAACCCAAAACACAAAUUUUCAAAACCCUAACAUUUAUCAAAACCAAAAUUAAAAGCUCAAUAAUACAAAUUUAUACAUUUAACAACCUAAAUCUUACCUUUUUACUUAUUUCCUCCAACUCCUUUCUAUUUCCUUUCUAAUUUCCCUCUUUUCUCUUCUUCUUCUUCUUUCUCCCUUCUCCCUUCUCUCUCACGGUUUUUCACUCAAAAAAUUCAGAUCUCUUCUUUUGUUUUUUUUUUUUUUUUUCCUUCUAUUUAUAUAUAUCAUCUCUUAUACAAUUACUACAAUACCCCUCAUUUAAUUUAUUCCUACAUCUAAGCAUUCAAGGACUUUAUUGUAUUUUCCUACUCAUUUAUUCAAAACAUCACAUUAACCCAAUAGCUUAAACUAUUAGGUGAGGUCUCAGGAUAUGAUUUAUAUUAUUCUCUAACAAAAAGAAGGGAGGAAGGGAGACAUACAGUGUUGUCAAAGCCCGUAAGUUUGAGAAUGACAACGGAAAAUCUGAAGCGUCAAAACUAUUAUUGCUCAGGUCCCUGGAGAAAAGAUUUUGGUCAAAGUAAGCAUUUGGAGAAAAGUCGAAUUGUAUUUCAUACUUAGAUACCUAACAGACUGGAAAUCUUACAAGUAGCUGAGAUAAGCCAUGCCAGUGAGAUUAGGAACAGGCCCAGUAAAUUUAUUGUUGGACAAAAUCCUGAAAUUUAUCAGCAAAAACACUCUUAACAGAGUGAGAAUUCGCACAAAAGACUUAACAAACUAGCCAAACCAUUGUGAUAUCUUUACUGGCAAUGUCGUUUUCUGUAUACUUACAACGUCUUCAGAGUGGUAAGAUUGUUGAGGUUUGGAGGGACAGGUCCAGUUAAUGAAUUCCCUUCAAAACGUCUGCAACAAAGAUAAGGCAUUCAAUACAAACUAGAUCAGUGUAGAUUAAUCACUUCAGUUUGCCAUGUAGAUGCUUACACAGCCUCCAAAGUGUGCACAAGUCCAAGGGUAGAAGGAAUGCUUCCCGUGAGAUUAUUGUCAUGCAAAAGCCUGCACAAAAGUAAUGUAUAUAGAAUUGUAAACCUUUUAAAGAAGCAUAUUAAAUUAAAAGGAAUAUUGUUUUCUUUUAAAUUAAAUUAAAAUCCCACUUCCUAUUUUCUCCCCUAUUCCAUUGGUGAAGUAGUUUGACUUCAACAUCCAAAGCAUAUACAAACUUACACAUGAAUGAGAGUCAUGUUUGAUCUGAAAAGCUCUUUCGGGAUUGUGCCUGAGAGCUGAUUCCCUCCUAGAUGACUGAAUAAUUUUCAGACCAGCAUAAACAGAUGUCAAUAACGCCGAAGCAAGAGAGCACACUAAUCAGCACAAAGAGAUUUGACAUACAAGUGGUUUGCAUUAACUAGCAUAUCAAGACCAGAUGUAGUUCCACUGGAGACAGGGAUGGCUCCAUCGAGCAUAUUAUUAGAUAGAUCCAGCAGAAAGAGUUUCGAAAGGUUUCCAAUUGAAUGUGGAAUUGGUCCAGUGAAUCUAUUAGAAUUCAGGUCUCUGCGGGAAAUAGCAGUUUCAGAGUGGAAAUAUGUAGGCUCGCACAGGAAAGGUUUAGUCCACAAGAAAACAGUAAAACACUCACAGAGACUCCAGCAGCUGAAGAGACCCUAUCAACUCAGGGAUAGGACCAGAGAAACGACAACCAACCAACUUUCUAGAAUGGAAGAAAAGAAAAUUCUGUCAGUUAAUUAGAGGACUGGUCUCAGUUAAUACUAACAUUAUAUUAUUCCCUUACAAGAUUUUUAGCUUCUUCAAAUUCACAAUUGAUGCCGGAAGUGUACCGCUCAAACCCGUGUUGUACGAUAGAUCCCUAUAACCAGACACUGAUAAUCAGCAAGGAAUCCUUAGAAUGGAAAACAAUCACUAUGUUCAUAUAUCAAGAAAAAGGAUGAAAGGAGCUCUGCCCCAACUCUCUCCAGAAAUGCUAACCUAUAAGCAACUGCCCCAACUCUCUCCAGAAUCUCAUACGGUCCAAUGAAUCGAGGACUCAACUUGCCUUUCUUCCCAAACCUGAAUACUCCUUUGGUCGGUGAUACUUUUAAGAACACACAAUCACCCACUGAAAACUCUAAGUCACGCCUUCUUUUAUCUGCGUAACUCUUUUGUCUGCUCUGAGCUGUUUGAAGCUUAUUUCUAAUUACCUCUAUCUUCUCUGAGGUAAUCUGAAUCAACUCUGGUCCCAUUAGCCUCUUCUCACCAACCUCAAACCAACAAACCGGUGAUCUACACUUCCGACCACACAAAGCCUCAUAAGGUGCCAUUUCUAUGCUAGCCUGAUAACUGUUGUUGUAAGCAAAUUCCACUAAUGGUAGGAACUUACUCCAACCAACUCCAAAAUCCAUAACACAAGCCCUUAGCAUAUCCUCCAAGAUCUGAAUAGUCCUCUCAGAUUGACCAUCUGUCUGAGGGUGAAAUGUUGUACUCAACUGCACUUUAGUACCCAUAGCUUCUUGGAAUUUCACCCAAAACCGCGAUGUAAACUGUGGACCUCUAUCAGACACUAUCGAGAUUGGCACUCCAUGCAACCGUACAAUCUCACUAAUAAAUAAUUCUGCCAACUUUGCAUAUCCAUAAGUAAUCCUAACUGGCAGAAAAUGGGCUGAUUUUGUCAACCUGUCAACAAUCACCCAUAUUGAAUCAUAACCCUCCUGACUCCUAGGCAAUCCUGUCACAAAGUCCAUUGUGAUCCUUUCCCACUUCCAUUCUGGAAUCAACAAUGGUUGCAACAAUCCAGGAGGUUUCUGGUGUUCACCCUUUACCCUCUGACAGGUCAAACACCUAGAAACAAAAUCUGCUACAUCAGCCUUCAUCCUAUUCCACCAAUAACACACCUUAAGGUCUUUAUACAUCUUGGUGGAACCUGGAUGCAUUGUGUAAACUGUCUGAUGUGCCUCUACCAUCAAUUCUCUCCUCAGAUCAUCUACAUCAGGUACACAAAGCCUAUCCCUAUAGCUCAGCACAUCAUCAUCACCUAUCACAAAACCUGCAGCCUUACCCUGCUCAACCUCAUUUCUAAUCCUGAGUAGUGAAUCAUCUUUCUUCUGAGCUGCUUUUAUCUUAUCAAACAAAUCUGACUUAACCUGAAAAUGAGCAAUCAUUGCUCCAGCUUCACUAAGAUCAAAUCUGACUCCUUCAUCCACCAUCUCAUGCAGCUCCCUAAUCAGAGGUCUUCGUACCUCCUGAAUAUGAGCUAAGCUCCCUGAUGAUUUUCUACUCAAAGCAUCGGCAACUACAUUUGCCUUACCCGGGUGGUAAUGUAUGGUACAAUCAUAAUCCUUCAGCAAUUCCAUCCAUCUCCUCUGCCUCAGGUUUAGAUCCCUCUGCUGAAAGAUGUAUUUCAAACUCUUGUGAUCUGUGAAGAUCUCACAAGUUUCACCAUACAAGUAGUGCCUCCAAAUCUUCAAGGCAAAAAUUACAGCCGCCAUCUCUAAAUCAUGUGUAGGAUAGUUCUGUUCAUGCUUCUUCAGCUGCCGUGAAGCAUAGGCAAUAACCUUGCCAUGCUGCAUUAGAACACAUCCUAACCUCACUCUCGAAGCAUCACAAUACACUGUGUAACCACCAGAACCUGAUGGUACUGCUAGAACAGGCGCUGUAGUCAAUCUCUCUUUCAACUCUAAGAAACUUUUCUCACAAGCUUCAGACCACUGAAACUUAACAUUUUUCUGCGUCAACUUAGUCAAUGGUGCAGAAAUCCGAGAAAAGUUCUCCACAAACCUCCGAUAAUAGCCGGCCAAACCUAAGAAACUUCUAAUCUCUGUCGCCGAAGUAGGUCUAAGCCACUGCUUAACUGCCUCAAUCUUUUAAGGAUCAACCUCAAUCCCAUUCCUUGACACUACAUGCCCAAGAAAUGCUACACUCUCCAACCAAAACUCACUCUUUGAGAACUUGCCAUACAGCUGAUGGUCUCGCAGAGUUUGAAGCACCAUUCUCAAGUGCUGCUCAUGCUCCUCUCUAGAUCUCGAAUACACCAAAAUAUCAUCAAUAAAAACUAUCACAAAUUGAUCAAUAAACUGGCCAAACACUCUAUUCAUCAAAUCCAUAAAAGCUGCUGGUGCAUUCGUCAACCCAAAAGACAUCACUAAGAACUCAUAAUGACCAUACCGAGUUCUAAAAGCUGUCUUCAAAAUGUCUGACUCCCUAAUCCUCAACUGAUGAUACCCAGAUCGAAGAUCGAUCUUAGAAAAGAAUUGAGCUCCCUGCAACUGGUCAAACAAAUCAUCAAUGCGAGGGAGUGGGUAUCUAUUUCGAACAGUCACUCGAUUCAGUUGCCUAUAAUCUAUACACAACCUCAAUGACCCAUCUUUCUUCUUCACAAACAACACUGGGGCUCCCCAAGGGGACACACUUGGUCGGAUGAACUUUUUAUCCAACAAAUCCUGCAGUUGCUCCUUUAGCUCCCUCAAUUCUGCUGGCGCCAUUCUAUAUGGUGCCAUUGAUAUUGGUUCGGUACCCGGAACCAAAUCAAUACAAAACUCAAUCUCCCUAUAUGGAGGCAAUCCAGGCAAGUCAUCGGGAAAGACAUCAAUAAACUCCCUAACUAUAGGGACUUGGUCUAAUUGAGGAACUUCUUUCUCUAUAUCCACUAUAUAUGCUAGGUAGCACUGUACCCCUUUUCUGGCCAUUUUCCUCGAGAUAGCCGACAACAUAAUUGAUGGAGACCCAAUCUUAUCUCCUUGAAAUACCAACCCAACUUCUUCAUCUAGAUCAAAUAUUAUUUUCUUACCCCAACAAUUUACCGAAGCCCUAUGUUUUGCCAACCAAUCCAUUCCCAAAAUCACAUCAAAAUCAACCAUAUCUAAGACAUUUAAGUCUCCCAUAAAAAUCUUAUCUCCAAUCUCUAUUUCACAAUCCAGGUACACAUACUUCACUAAUAUUAAUUCAUCUAAGGGAGUGGAGACUGAAAUUGGGGAUUUUAACAAGGUUGGCUGUUUAUCUAACCUCAUGGCAAAAUAUGGGGACAUAAAUGAAUGGGUUGCACCCGUAUCAAACAACACUUUUGCUUCAAAAGAGCAAACAGGAAGAAUACCUGAAACAACUAUGUUGGAUGCCUGAGCAUCCUGCUGAGUCAAGGCAAAAACUCUAGCAUGCCCCUGACCCUGCUGUAUCUGACCUCUAUCACCUGCACCCCGGCCUCUCUGACCACGGCCACCAAAACCUCUACCCCCAUGAGCCACAGACUGGCUCGUCGAUGGUGCCUGAAUAGGAUGUUGGACUGAAGCAGAUAACCCCGAAGCUGACAACUGUCUCCUCGGGCACUCUCUGAUCUUAUGACCUAUCUGGCCACAACUAAAACAAGCCCCGGUCCUUCUGUAGCACUCUGCACUAGUAUGACUUCCUCCACAGUGCUGACAUGAAGAACUAUCACUAGGUGUAAUAAAUGAACUACGAGGUGCAGUCUGAACUAAACUCUGAGUACCACUACUGCCACUCUGACCGCCUGAGCCACUAACUGACGGUCUCUGUCUAAACCUCCUCUGAACCCAUGAGCCCUGACGGCCACUUCGUCCCCUAGACGGACCUGCACUUAAUCCCUGUUGCCUAAAAGACUGACCCUCUUCUCUAGGCCUCUUAGACUGGCCUGCAGUCAUGUCCUCUAAUUCUCGCGCCUCUAUCAACCUGGCGCUAUCAACAGCUGAGGAGUAUGAUGGAAACACCUGUGACACCAUCACCAUAUACAUAGAGGAUUUGAGUCCUCUAAUAAACCUCUUCACCCUCCACUCCUCAGUGGGUAGAAGAUGCUCUGCAUACCUAGACAGCUGAGUAAACUUCAGAUCAUACUCAUCCACUGUCAUGCUCCCCUGAGAUAGCCUCUCAAACUCAUAAAGUCGAGCAUCCCUGACGCUCUGAGGGAGAAACCUGUCUAAGAACAUGGAGCUAAACUCCUUCCAUGUCCACUGAGCCUCUACUGGUCUUGCUCUUUUCAUAGACUCAAACCAAGAGAUUGCCACAUCUCCUUCCAACCUGAACGAUGCCAAACUCACAGCUCGGUGGUCUGUACAUCCCAAAGCUUCACACCGUCGCCAAAUAUCAUCUAGGAACCUCUGAGGAUCCUCUGAACUAUCCAUCCCAGUAAAAAUAGGAGGUGCCAACUUCAUGAAGUCAUUCAACGGCACAUUAACUCCCUGAACAGUGUGGGAUGUCGAGGGUACAUCUUUAUCCCUCCUUCUAUCUCUCUCCAUAGAAAACUCUAUCCAGGUCCGCACAACCUGGCUAAGUUGCUGAAACUCUGUAACAGGUUCAGGGUCAGCUACCCCCACACCUGUUUCAUCAACAAUAUCUUCCUCUUCUAUCUCCUGAGGCUCUUCCUCCACUGGUGGAGGUACCUCCUCAACAUGUUGAGGCACGGGUGCACCGCGCCUCCUUCUCUGCCUUGCAGUUCUCAACCGCCCAAUAGGGACAUUAUCCUGAUCAUCCUCUACUCUAACAGUAUCAGCUAUUCGUCUAUUCCUCGGCAUUUCCUAAAAUAAAAAUGAGAGCACUCAAGUCAUGCUAGAACAAUAGCAUGAUAAUUACCACAGAAUUAUAGGAAAGCAUAUCUAUCACAAGGAAGAAGACAUGCUUAAUGAGAAUUCAGAAUUUCAAAGACAACAAAUAAGACAACACGGAUCCUAAUGCUCCACUUAUUAUGAAUUUAAUUAUAUUAUUGUUUCUUUAACCUAAAGCUCUGAUACCAAGUUUUUCACGACCCGAAUCCCGGAUCCAUGACCGGCACAUAGGCAAGGUUCCCCUCCAAGGUUCCAUACCUAUGCGAACCCAAACUUACACACAAACUUAUUCUUCAAAUAAGUCAAUCAGAGUUCAACGCAACAAUAACAACAAAAUUAACUUCAUAAUAUAAUUAAAUUGUCUUAAUACAAGAGUUAAUAUAAAUUCAGAGUUUUGGAGCACUAACUAGACAUAAAGGAAAAUGUACAAAUUACAACCAAAAAGCAGGUUCUGAAGGUCCAACAAAAUGACUUGCUAUCAAGCUAUAAGCCUGAAAAGGAUAAAUAAUGAGAGGGUGAGUUCAACAACUCAGUGAGUAGAUAACGUUCAAUAUACACACACGAGGUAAUAAAACAAUGAGAAAUAUAUAUACAAGUAUGGCUUUAGGUUCUUAUGGAAGUGUUCUCAAAUUGGCCAUAACAAGAAUGUCAUAUGGUAAAACUCGUCAGAAAAUCAAAAUGCAAUGAGCAUGAGGCUCCGUACUGUGGGAUGAUCAGUCCACACAGGUUGGUGACUCCCCCGACCAACUAGGGUUCAGAUACGAUGUGCACAAAGACUAACACUACCCUGUUAGCAUGGGUAUUCUGACUGACAUACCAUAGGUUCAUAAUCAUAUUCAAACAGACAUAUUCAUAUCUCAAGGCUCAACUCAUGACAUCAAUCAAAUGAGGAGCUAUCAAUUCAGAAGUCAAUCCCAAAUAUAUACUGGUUCAUAUCAAGAAUUCAGAUUCAACAAUUGAUCAUGCUUUAUCAAAAUAAGGAUAAUAAUCAACAUAUAUAUUAUCAAGAAGCAUGAUUCAAUUCAUAUUAACAAAUCAAAUAUUUAUACUAUUUCUCAUGCAUAUGGAAAAUUAUCCACUCACCUGACUCGAAAGCAAACAGAAGUCAAAAGCAAAUACUGAAGAAAAUCCUACUGACGUCCCGCCGGUAGAAUAUCAGGAUUAUCUGAAUACAAAGAAGGCAUAUUCAAGAAUAACUCAAAGGAAUAUAUAACCCAUUUAAUACACUUAUCUAAGGGUGCAUUCCAUAACCCUAUAUGUUUUUGAACUAACUAGUUAUUUUUCCUAAAACCCAAAAUUUAACGGUUUUCCCGAAAUCUAAUCCAUAAUAAAGCAAAUAAUAAAACUUGAUAAUAAUUCACUAAAUAACCCUCAAUUAUUCAUCAAACCAAUCUGAAAAGGCUAAUAUUACAGCUAGGGACUAAUCUGUAAUUUAUCAUAUUUUUAGGGCCAAAUUGUAAUUUUUGUCUAAUUGGAGGACCAAACUGAAAUUUAUCAUAAAUCCAUGAAUAUACUGAAAUUCUGACCAUAAUUAGUCCUCAUUUCUGUCCAGAUCAUCUCAUUAUACUCCAAGGACCAUUCUGGAAUUUUACCAAAUUUUUAGGGUCAAAUUGUAAUUUUUGUCAAAUUGAAGGACUAAAUUGAAAGUGUUAAAUUCUCUUAUCUAUACAGUAAUUCUGUCCAUAAUUCAUAUGUUAUUCUGUUCAGAAUCUCGGAAUAUGCUCCAGGGACCAAUCUGCAAAUUUUCCAAAGUUUGGGGACUAAACUGUAAUUUUCCAAAAUUGAGGGACCAAAUUGAAUUUUCGUCAUCUUCAACCUCAAACCCAGAAUUCUCACAGAUUACCUACUGUUCUUGCCAAAUUUAUAACUCAACAUUCACCAUUUACACAAUUCAUAACUCAAAAUCAUCACAAUCUUCCAUAAUCAACUCAUUAAUCAAUUACCCAUAACAAUCAACCUUAUAACAUUCAAUUUAAUUCAUCAAUUAAACCCAAAACACAAAUUUUCAAAACCCUAACAUUUAUCAAAACCAAAAUUAAAAGCUCAAUAAUACAAAUUUAUACAUUUAACAACCUAAAUCUUACCUUUUUACUUAUUUCCUCCAACUCCUUUCUAUUUCCUUUCUAAUUUCCCUCUUUUCUCUUCUUCUUCUUCUUUCUCCCUUCUCCCUUCUCUCUCACGGUUUUUCACUCAAAAAAUUCAGAUCUCUUCUUUUGUUUUUUUUUUUUUUUUUCCUUCUAUUUAUAUAUAUCAUCUCUUAUACAAUUACUACAAUACCCCUCAUUUAAUUUAUUCCUACAUCUAAGCAUUCAAGGACUUUAUUGUAUUUUCCUACUCAUUUAUUCAAAACAUCACAUUAACCCAAUAGCUUAAACUAUUAGGUGAGGUCUCAGGAUAUGAUUUAUAUUAUUCUCUAACAAAAAGAAGGGAGGAAGGGAGACAUACAGUGUUGUCAAAGCCCGUAAGUUUGAGAAUGACAACGGAAAAUCUGAAGCGUCAAAACUAUUAUUGCUCAGGUCCCUGGAGAAAAGAUUUUGGUCAAAGUAAGCAUUUGGAGAAAAGUCGAAUUGUAUUUCAUACUUAGAUACCUAACAGACUGGAAAUCUUACAAGUAGCUGAGAUAAGCCAUGCCAGUGAGAUUAGGAACAGGCCCAGUAAAUUUAUUGUUGGACAAAAUCCUGAAAUUUAUCAGCAAAAACACUCUUAACAGAGUGAGAAUUCGCACAAAAGACUUAACAAACUAGCCAAACCAUUGUGAUAUCUUUACUGGCAAUGUCGUUUUCUGUAUACUUACAACGUCUUCAGAGUGGUAAGAUUGUUGAGGUUUGGAGGGACAGGUCCAGUUAAUGAAUUCCCUUCAAAACGUCUGCAACAAAGAUAAGGCAUUCAAUACAAACUAGAUCAGUGUAGAUUAAUCACUUCAGUUUGCCAUGUAGAUGCUUACACAGCCUCCAAAGUGUGCACAAGUCCAAGGGUAGAAGGAAUGCUUCCCGUGAGAUUAUUGUCAUGCAAAAGCCUGCACAAAAGUAAUGUAUAUAGAAUUGUAAACCUUUUAAAGAAGCAUAUUAAAUUAAAAGGAAUAUUGUUUUCUUUUAAAUUAAAUUAAAAUCCCACUUCCUAUUUUCUCCCCUAUUCCAUUGGUGAAGUAGUUUGACUUCAACAUCCAAAGCAUAUACAAACUUACACAUGAAUGAGAGUCAUGUUUGAUCUGAAAAGCUCUUUCGGGAUUGUGCCUGAGAGCUGAUUCCCUCCUAGAUGACUGAAUAAUUUUCAGACCAGCAUAAACAGAUGUCAAUAACGCCGAAGCAAGAGAGCACACUAAUCAGCACAAAGAGAUUUGACAUACAAGUGGUUUGCAUUAACUAGCAUAUCAAGACCAGAUGUAGUUCCACUGGAGACAGGGAUGGCUCCAUCGAGCAUAUUAUUAGAUAGAUCCAGCAGAAAGAGUUUCGAAAGGUUUCCAAUUGAAUGUGGAAUUGGUCCAGUGAAUCUAUUAGAAUUCAGGUCUCUGCGGGAAAUAGCAGUUUCAGAGUGGAAAUAUGUAGGCUCGCACAGGAAAGGUUUAGUCCACAAGAAAACAGUAAAACACUCACAGAGACUCCAGCAGCUGAAGAGACCCUAUCAACUCAGGGAUAGGACCAGAGAAACGACAACCAACCAACUUUCUAGAAUGGAAGAAAAGAAAAUUCUGUCAGUUAAUUAGAGGACUGGUCUCAGUUAAUACUAACAUUAUAUUAUUCCCUUACAAGAUUUUUAGCUUCUUCAAAUUCACAAUUGAUGCCGGAAGUGUACCGCUCAAACCCGUGUUGUACGAUAGAUCCCUAUAACCAGACACUGAUAAUCAGCAAGGAAUCCUUAGAAUGGAAAACAAUCACUAUGUUCAUAUAUCAAGAAAAAGGAUGAAAGGAGCUCUGGGAAUGAGGCCUUUUCUCAAUAUGUGCCUCAUGCCUUGAGAUCCGGAUGCUAGAGCAGCCCAGCCUAGACAUCUGGAAAGCCAAAGAGUAUCGUAGCACUACAUCUUUGAGGCUGUGACUACUUGUAAGUUGGGAUCAUUUAUUACGUGAAGUGAAAACUCAAGACUUACAGAGACUCCAAUUCUGAUAAGGAGGAGAUGUCUCCAGACAGCUCACCCGUCAAUCCCACAGCUGCCAACGUUCUGCAGUUGAAAAUAGUCAGCUAAUCUCGAAACUUGGAGAGGGAAGAAGGUGCGAGGCUUAUUUAACAUUUGAAGCUGAACAACUGCCUAUAACUUACAUCGAAGUCACACGUGAAUUGUGACAUGAAAUGCCUUCCCAUUUGCCUCCACAGGGAUCUGCACCCACCCAAUUACGUGGUGUGUUUUCCCAGGCAUCCUUGAGAAUACUCAUUACUGUAACUGCAUCAGGAAUGGGACAGAACAAUAAAAAAUUUCCAUGAUUCAAUCACCAUCAGAGUUGUCUAGUUACAUGGAGUAUGGAGGAUCCAUUAAAGCUAGCAAAGAUCUCUACUAAAUCUAAUCUAGCCUCGAACUUUAAUGAGUGAUUUUUGGCCCAAGUGCAGGCAAUUCAGAAUAUUCAUUCUGCAGUUCAUCUAUAAAGUUAAGAAGACCCUUAAGCACUUGAUUCUGAUUAGCAUAAAAAGCUACAUCCUACAUGAGACAUGGCUCAAAAACUCUUUGCAGUAAAUAUUAAUUUAUUGAACUUACAAUCAUCACCAUAGGUCUCUGUAUAAAUCUGAAAGGAAGCAACCAGCAAAAACGUGAGAACUUUGGGACACAUUUCUCAACCAAAUUGCAAAGCUCUUUGUUAGCAGAAAUGAUAUCUAGAAGUACAGCUCUUAAUAUGAUAAAACAUGGAAGGAAGAUCUUUACAUAUCCCCAUCGUUUACUUAUCUCAAAACUUAUAUCGUGAAAAGGACAUGAAUGGGACACUUUUGUUCGUAUGAAUCACAUACUACAUACAAAGACAAUUGACCUCCCAUCUCUAGUCAUUUUCAAGUUUACAGUCAUGAAACUCUAAGACUCCUAAAAAUACAAGUAGAGAAACAAUUUACGAGAUACUGUACGUGAUAAGAAUGAGUUGUGAGAGUGAUAGAAAGAACCCACCAAGUGGUUUCUUGCAUGUAGUAAAUGUUGAUUCUAAUAAUAAGCAUCCACUCUGAUUGCAUCCACAUACACUUCAGAAUACAGAGAGCAUUUCCACAUUUCCUACAGUACAUACAGCAAGUGGUCAUGAUUGUCUGCUAAAGUCAUUUUUUAAGCAAUCAAUACAAGGAGUUAUCAAUUGUUAAUGAGAUGUGUGGAUGAUUUUACUAAGUCUACUAAUUAGACUAGUAGAAAGAAAUGCAUUUGGCAAACCUUGAGGGGUGUAGCUCAACUGGUCAGGCUUUGAGUUUGCUCCCCAGAGAUCACCAGUUCGAGUCCCACAAACCUUAGGGUCACUUAAGGCUUACAUGAUCGUUAACUUCAGGGCCCGUGAGAUUUAUCGAGGUGCAUGCAAACUAACGUGGACACCUACGUUAAUCUAAAAAAAAAAAGGAAAAGAAAUGCAUUUGGCACAUUUAAUGUUUCAAAUGCUCAUAUGAAUGGAAUAAAAAAAAAAAUGUAGGAUAAAGCUAAGCCUAAAAAGAGAUAUAAUUACAUAGAAUAACUAGUCGAACAAAAAAGCUUGUAAUUUUUUAUCUAAAUGUAGAAUUGGACUCAAAUUUGACUAGAAGGAUUUAUAUGCCUAAUUCUAUAAUAAGGCCUUCAAAUUACACUCAAAAGAUGUUUUUUGAUUCAGUUAAAUCGGAGCCGUACAUACACAUUGAACUUCUUGAAAUAAUUAGAUUUUAGUGUAUAUAUAUACAAUUGAUUUUUAUUAAAAAGUUUCCCAAUUUUAUCACACAACAUCUCAAAAAUCCGAAAGUCACAUUCCAUCUUCCUCCCACUAUGUUUCUUUUGAAAAGAUGCUUUUGAGCCUGUUGGAAUUGGAUGGGAUGUGCUUUUUUGAAGGAUUUUUUUUUUUAGAAAAAGGAAUUAUAUAGUUUAAAGGUUUGGAGAACAUUUUUUUUUCUUUUGAAAGAAUCAAAUUUGUAAAUUCACAAGUAUUCACAAAGCAAAGAAUUACAGUUCUGAUGCAUCAUAUGCUACAAAGUGCAAACAACACAAGAUAAAUGGCAACUCGUACUCUCAACUAAGAAGUAUCAUUGAAACAUUUUCCAAGCUAAGCUCAUACCAAGUAUUCUGAGCUAACUCAUAGUGGCUGUACCUUUGAAACUCGGAAGCCCCCACUGUAAUCAAAUGCAUCCUUGAUAUAAAUGCUCGAUGUUUAGCAGUUCCCUUGCUUACAUCAUCGUAGUUAUUUCACUACUAGAAAAUUAACAAAUACAAAUAAAAAUACUUACAAAAAAAUUCUAUAGAUAAAUUGUGAUGAUUUUUACCGGCAGAAUUUUCCAUCCCUAUAUCCAUUGGUAGACGCUGACAGAAAGAUUUUCUUGGCAUAUUUCAAGAAAAUAAUUGAGGGUAUUGCAGUGGGAUUCAAAAAAACAAAUCAUAUGAUGACAUGGCAUUUUUACCAACAAAAUUACUGACGAAAUAAUUCUAUCUGUAAUGACAUUGAUAAUAUUUAAUUUAUAACCUGACAAUCGACCAUCCUCUCCCCCUCUCCAAUUUUUCCUUCUUCCUUAUGAAUUUUUUUAGCUAACGUAGUUAAUUAAUACAUGUUGUCAUCAUUAUUUUAAAUAAUUACUUUGCAUGUUGUCAUCAUUAUUCACCCUAAGGGUUGCAGAUGAUGGAUUAUUGUAAUGAGAUUCAGGGUUUUAUUAAUUAUACACUAUCUAAUCUGAGAAAUAUUAGUGAAAUGGGUAUUAAAUGUUCAUGCAAAAGGUAUAAAAAUAAAAAUUUUCUCGAUUCAUAUGUUGUAACAAUACAUCUUUUACAAAAAGGAUUCAUGGAGAAAUACUUGUAUUGGUAUGCAAACGGAGAACCAUAUGUUCCUCACGAUACCAUGGUAGAAAGGAUGAUUGGGUCAACUUCUACUUCUAGCAACGUGCAUGGAGUUGUAGAUAACAAUAGUAAUCUGUAUAGGAAUAUGGUUAUGGAUGCAAUGGGAAUGAAUCACGAUCAUGCUAGUCAAUGUCUAAUCGUAAAUGAAGAACUUAAUGCAGAUACGAGUAGGUUUUUUAUGUUUUAAAAGAUUUUAACGAACCAUUAUGGGAUGGCUACAUAAAUCACUGUAAAUUAUUGGUCGUUGCACAGGUGUUCAACAUCAAAUGAGAUCAUAGGUUGAGUGAUGCCGGUUAUGAUAGAAUUUUUGAAUAGCCGAGAAGCAUUUUACUUGAAGGGAACAGGCUGAAAGAGAAUUUCUAUGCUGUUAUGUCCAUGAUGAAACUCCUUGGUCUAGGAUACCAGAAAAUUGACAUGUGUUCAAACUUUUGCAAGUUGUACUACCUUGAAAAUGUAGAGGUGGCCGAGUGUAGAACAUGUGGGCAUUCUCAUUGUAAACUCAUGACUGGCAGGGGAAGGACUCUUGUCACACAUAAAAGAAUUAGAUAUUUUCCAAUCACACCUAGAUUACAGAGGUUAUUCAUGUCACCAAAGACUGCUGAGCACAUGACAUGGCACCAAUCACAUGAUGCAGUGGAUGGAGUGAUGAUGCACCCUUUCGAUGGUGAAGCCUGGAAACACUUUAACAAUAUGCAUCCUUAUUUUUUAGUGGAGAUAAGGAACGUGCAUCUUGGGUUAUGUAUAGACAAAUUCAAUCCAUUCGGGUCAUUUCCUGCUCCUUAUUCUUGUUGACCGGUGAUACUCAUAGUUUACAACUUGCCAUUAGGGAUGUGUAUAAGGCCGGAGUUCAUGUUUUUAUCUACGAUCAUACCCGGUCCUAAUAGUCCAGGUCGGAAUAUAGAUGUUUGUCUUCAACCGUUGAUUGAUGAGUUGAAGUAGUUGUGGUCAUCCGGGGCUUUGACUUAUAAUGUAUGAAGGAAACAAAAUUUUAUGUUGAAGGCAGUUUUGAUGUGGACUAUCAAUGAUUUUCUAGCUUAUAGAAUAGUUUCCAGUUAGAACACGCAUGAAAAACUAGCAUGCCCAUACUAUAUGGAAAAUAACAAGGCAUUCACACUAAUAAACGGCCUUAAAGUGCUUUUUUUACUGUCACCGUCGGUUCUUGCCAACAGAUUGCAAGUUCAAAAAGAACAUAAAGGACUUCUUAGUUGGUAUGGUUGAAAGGGAUGUUGCACAACCACUUCUUUCAAGUGAAAAAUUGUAUAAUGUGGUAUCAGAGUACGGUGACAUUGUGUUUGGUUUUCAAUCCGGUAAGCAGAAGUUUCUUGGUUUUUGUUUAACCCACAAUUGGGUAAAGCGAAGUAUUUUCUGGGAGCUUCCUUAUUGAAAGACCAAUCUCCUCUGCCAUAACCUUAAUGUCAUGCACAUGGAAAAGAACGUGUUUGAGAACAUUUUCAACACGAUUAUGGACGUGAAGAGAAAGACAAAGGACAACAUCAAGGCUAGAAUGGAUAUAGCUUUGUUUUGUCACCGUAAAAAUAUGAAGUUAGUUUAUGUUGGGUCACGGGUCGCAAAGCCCAAAGUCAGCUUCACCUUAGACAAGAAUGCAUAGUUUCUUGUUUUAUCAAUGGCUUAAAAGUCUGCGUUUUCCUGAUGGACAUGCCUCAAACAUAUCAAGGUUGGUGAAUUUGAAGGAUUGCAGAUUGUAUGGAAUGAAGAGCCAUAUUGUCAUGUAUUUAUGCAAACACCCAUUUCAUUAACUUACCGGGAUUUAUUGUUGAAAGGGAUAUGGGAUGCACUCGUGGAGAUCAGUCACUUCUUUAGAGAUAUAUGCUCCAACAAGUUGCAGACACAAAACAUAAAGAGAUUUAAAAUGAAUAUCGUCCAAAUAAUAUGCAAACUUAAGAUGAUAUUCCCUCUAACAUUUUUCGACUUAAUAAAGCAUCUACCCAUACAUUUACUGUUUGAGGCAAAAGUUGGACGCCCAGUACAAUAUAGAUGGAUGUAUCCAUUUGAGAGGUUAAGGUUAACACAUGCAUCGUAAUUAAAAAUUUAUUAUCUUCCUUUGCUUAUUUCAAAACAUUCAUUUAAUUUCAUGCAGGUCUUGUUCAACCUUAAGAGAAAAGCAAAAAACAAGGCAUAUGUUGAGGCUUUGAUAUGUGAGGCCUAUAUUGUUGAAGAGAUCUCAACAUUUAUCUCGUACUAUUUCGAGCCUUAAUUGAGAACAAAAAUCAACUGUAUUCUAAAGUAUGACAAUGGUAGGGAUGUGCCUUCGAGUAGGAACUUGUUAAUUGAUGAAGUAGAAGAGAAUUCUGAUGAAUUUGCGCAGCACAAAUGUGUAAUGUCAUAAGCUAUAAUGUAAUAUUUAUGGACGAGAUUCACUUCAAUGUAAUAACAAUGAUGUUAAUUUAUUAUUGAAAGACAAGAAAAUAUUUAUUUUCUUAUUGUGAUGUGAACUAGUGUUAUUGUGUUGUAUGUGCAGCUAUGAAUUUAAGUAUUUGUAGGACGGAUAAAUAAGGAAUACAUAUGCAAUUUAGCAUCAGACACCGUUUUACACUGAUAAAAAUACUGACAGACUAUACAUUACAUAUAGGUAUAUCGACAAAAUGUAUCUGUUGAUAUAUUCUAGAAACCAUAGGAAUUGUUCCCCUUCACCCUAGCACUAUUCAUGGUGUUUAUUACAUACAGGUUUAGCGACAGAAUGUGUUUGUCGGUAUAUUCCAGAGACCAUGGGAAUUGUUCCCCUUCACCCUAACAUUGUUAAUGAUGUUCAUUACAUGCAGGUAUACUGACAAAAUGUGUUCAACGAUAUAUUUCAGAGACUAUGGGAAUUGUGCCCCUACAACCUGACACUAUUCACGGUAUUCAUUACAUAUGGGUAUAUUGACAGAAUGUGUCUGUCGGUAUAUUCCAAGGACCAUGGAAACUAAUUCACUUCUCAAUGCGAAAAUAAUUAAUGAUGUUUUUACUGUUCACUUUUUUUCCUAAUAGAAUCACCGACGGAAUGAAAAGUCAUCGAUAACAUAUGGAGGGGCUUUCUAAAACUUUUCGCACAAGUUGAGAAUUUCCAUUUGACUUUAUAUUAUCGAUUAGGGCUUUCUAAAAAUAUUAAUAUUUAAUUUCAUAUCGGUAAAAACUAAAAUAAAAGACCUGAAUCAUGAUAGAUUAGGGCUUCAUCUUCUUCUCUCUUUCUCUUCUCUCUCUCCUUCUCACCUUAGAUCAAGCAUUCUCUUUUCUUCACAUCCUAAGUAUGUUGUAUUUCUUCAUUUUUCUUCUUUUGUUUCUUUUUUUUUUGGUUUAUUAACAAUGUAUUUUUUUAUUGUUUUUCUUUUUUUUAAUUAGGAUCUUAAAUAAAGCACGUCAUUAAGGUAAUAAUUUUUCAUUCCUUUUUCUUUCUUUUUGGUGCUUUUUUUCAUUAUGUUUUUUCAAAUUUGUUGUUCUUAAUUAAGAGCUGAAAUGAGCAUUAUUUUUGUUCAAUUUUGUUUUCUUAAUAAUUUUAUUAAUUAAUAAAUGACAUGACUAUUAGUUGUUAUUGAAAUAAUUUUUGCAUUAUUUUAUUGAAAUUUAGUUAUUUUUUUUAAAUUUGUUGUUCAAUUUCAAUUAAAUGUGUAGAAAUUAUUUUAAAUACUAUUUUGUAUUUAUUCCAUUUAGAAUAAAUUUUUAUAAAUUUAGGAUUAAAAAUAUUAUCACUUAGAAAUAAUUGUGUUUAAUUUUAGGUGUUAUUGUAAUAUAUUUUGCAUUAUUAUUUUGAAUUUUUUAAAAUUUAAAAUAUUUUUUUGUAAAUUUAUGAUUUAAAAUAUUAUCACGUAGAAAAUGAAAAUUUUCUAUGAAAUUGAAUUAUGCUAAAUUGUUAGAAGAAAUUGAAUAAAAUCAACUGGUUUGUGGCAUAUAUAUUAUGUAUUUCCAGGUUUAAAAAAUUUAGGUAGUCUCCCAUAUAGGGUAGAUGUUUCCAAAAAAUUUUAAAAAAUAGGAAUCUCUUAAAAAACUUUAUCCAUUAAUUUGUGUAGAUGUCUAGGGGAAAGUCUAUUACACGUUGAGAGGACAUAAUCGCUGCUAGUUCUUCUAGAAGUGAUGUUGACGACCAUGAGUCAUUAGGAGCCGACCAAGAACAGGCACUUGAGGCACACACAUCGACUCAUGAUGAGGGCUUGUCGAGUGUGAUGCCACAACAUCAAGGGGCUCUCUUCAUACAGGAUCCAUUUACCCGCAAGUACGAGGCUAGAGAAAGGACGACCUUUCAAUAUAAAUUUGUUUUGCUUUCAUAACGACAUGUUUAAUAAUUUUUUAAAAAAAUAAUAUCAUUUAACGAAUGCAAUUUCAAGUUUACAAAUAUUGAGGUUGCUAGAACAAUAAUAUUGGCCUUUAAAUCGUCGAUGGAAAUUCAAUUAUUUCAAUGAAGACAGGUUUCCAAACAUCCUGAAUAGAAACCGCAGGUUGAUGUAUGGUUUUCAAGGUUCAAGAUUAGUAUUAGUUUAAAUAUUUUUUAAUGUUAAUUUGAACCAUAUAUUGAAAUUUUCCUUUUAUAAAUUUUUACUUCAGAGGAAAUUUUGAAUGGGAGAGAGUUGAUGAUAAUUUUGCGAGGAGGGUUUCAAAGAAUCACUCUACAAUUAGAUAAAAUUGAACUCAGGAUAAAAAAUUUUUCUCAAAUAUUAAAAUUUUAUUUUUCAUUUGCUAACAGAUAAGUAAUUUGUACCAUAUAGAUUGCGUGAUUUUUUGUACGAGGCGCAAAAGAAAUCCAAAAAAUAUGCAAAAGAAAGAGAGCUUCUAAGUUGGAAUAAUAUGGCGGUUUGGAAGGAUUUCAAAUCGCCAUAUGUCUCAGAGGCUGUAUGGGUGGUAUACAUUCAGCACAUGAUGUCUGCGCGUUUCACUCGACGGUCAUAGUCCGAUAUGGAUAACCAGAACCGAGAUGUUCAUGGUUCUGUUGUCACGCACACCGGUGGCUCAAUUCCAUUCGUUUCACAUGCGAAGUGGAUGGUAGGAUUUUUUUUUUAACAUCCAUUUUUUAUUGGUUGUUUUUUUAUAAAUAUGCUUAACUGAAAACAUUUUUUAUUGCAGGCUAUGAUUCUUAGACUCGAGUCAAGCCCAAUGGAGUUUUUUGUUGAAACCCAUGUGUAAGUUAUUAUUUCCUUGAAUUUGAUGAAUUUAUUUUUUCUUUCCAUGAUACAUAUAACAGCAGUUGAAGGAGAGAUACAGGGACGAUCCUUUGACCUAUCUAGAUAUCGAUCUGGAUUUGUGGUUGAAGGCAAGAUCAUCGUGGACCCGAUAGAAAUUGGGUGUACGGACUCUCUAACACUAUAGCCAAACUUGCAGACAACCCAUAGUGCUUUGACAGUUGGAUGCAAUCGAUUCUGAGCAUUCAGACUCUUGAUUUCACAGUGAUAUUAGACCAACGGGUACAGGAUCGAACAACCCAUCUUAAUGAUAAAUAUGAACGACUCGCUACUGAUUAUAAAGAACUCCGUUUAUUGGUAAUGGAGAUGAGAUCAUAGAUGAGUGGUUCAUAUGCAACCCCUAAUUGGCCCUACGGUUCCGGCGACCAUCAGUCUUCUCCUCCAGCGUCGCCUCUAUUUUAGAUUUAUUGUAUUUGAAUGUACAAAUGUUUAAAUUUGUAAUAAAUAUUUUAUUUUUAUACUAAUUGAUUUUAUUUUAAUUAUUUUUCUACUUUUUUUCAAAAAAAAAUUAAGAAAAUAUUUUUAAAAUAUUACUGACGGGGUUACCAACAGCACAACUCUGUCAGUAUAUUCUAGAGGGUUGAAAAAAGAAUUACUACAAAUGUCACUAUUACUGAUGGGGUUACCGACAGAACUAGACUGUCGAUAUAUUCCAGAAAGGUGAAAAAGAAUUACUGCAUAUGUCACUGCUACUAUUAACGCACCGAUGGAAUUACAGAAGGUAUUCUGUCGGUGAUAUGUUAUAUUUAUCGAUGGAUAUACUGACAGAAUAAAGCGGAUAAAUUUGUUUUUGACGUGCUGUAUCAAUUUGUAAAUCCAUUGAUAUAUUUAUUGUUGACGGACUUAACAACAGUCCAUAAAUUACCAACAUGAGUUUUUCCAACUGACUGUUUAUGUCUAAGACCUCUGUUAGUAACAUAUGUAAACACCAUAAGAAAUUUCUAUCAAUAAAACUAUUAAGUCUGAAAGUCGUUUGCUAGUCAUUUAAAUUCACAUAAAUAAAUUCUGGUCAGUCAAGAGAUAAGAGGCAAAGAAAACUCCAAAAAAUAUUUGAACUCACUCGUGGAAAGAAUGCUUCCGUCAGUCACCAGCUUGACCCAUAAAGAUAUCAGAAUUUCUUCCAAACGAAUCUGUCCCUCUAAUUGCAAACACACGGGUCCCCUCCGACCACUCCCCUCCAUCAACCCUUGCAAGAAUCCAUUCUCUCUUGGACUUGACAGCACCUGACCUGAGAAACAACUAGCACAGCAUGCGAGAAAUGUAUUGAUCCUUGACGGCAGUACUGCGGUUUCUCAUGUGAUGCAAACAAUCAGUGAAGUGCUAGCUGGAAAUUUAUUUAAUUAACAUGAAUGAAAAAUUCAUCUAAAAAAUUUCUUGGUUUUUUACUUAAAUAAUUUUUGAUUUUUUUAUAUUUAAUUCCUGAUUUAUAAUGAUUAAUCAGAGGUUGAUAAUGGUAGGAAUUAAUUCUUCAUCCUUUUACCUUCCAAAACUCACUAUUAAAAACGAAGCGAAGAAAGAGUUUCCAACUUGAAUUUUUCAAAUUCUUACAGUACUCUUACUUGCCUCAUAUUUUAGUGUUUUAUUCUCAUUUUAAUCUUUGAUUUUUCUCUCAAAUUUAGAGAUUAGGUUCAUCUUAAUUAUUAAAACACAUUUGAGUUUCAUAUUUUUUUUGUUCAAAAAAAUUGUUAAAAAGUACAUCUAAACUAAAGUGGUAUUGUUAGAGUCUUGAAAGAUAUAUUAUAAAUAUCCUAAUUGCACAGGUGAGAAGCAGUAAAAUCUUAAAGACAAAUGAUUCAUCUUUAAUAAUAACAAAAAUUUCAUUACCUUAAACUACUUCAACAAAUAAGUACCUUUUAGUAUGCAUGCUAGAAUUUUAAAUUAAUAUCAAUUGCAGGUUAGAUUAUAUGCUAAGUAUGCAUACUAGAAUUCGUUUUAUUAUAUUUAUGUUGAACACACGCUUGUCAUGAGUUAUGUUUUUGCUUGCUUGUAGCUAGUUUUAAACAUGUAUAAACUUCUAGGUUUUUGUUGGAUGUUUUUUUUUAGGAUGCAUUUGUGAUGAUAAACUAAAUAUAUUUGCUCACUAGUCUAAUAUAUUUACAAAUUUUUAGUAAAAUUUAUUUGCUUUCUUAAUUAUUUUUAUUUCUUAUUUAGUUUAAAAAAUAAAAUCUUAUGUUUAAUAAUUGGAUCUUUAUUGUUUUUUUUUCUUCAGGUUUUCAAGAUUGUUUAUGUUAGUUUUUGAGUUUAUUUAAAAAAUUAUAAACUUACAACAUACUACUUAUAAAAAAUAUUCAAUUAUAAAAUUAUGAAUUAGAAUUCUCUUUUCUUUUAAAAGUUUUGUAUUCCUAUAUAUAUAUAUAGAAGAGCUCUCCAUCAUUGUCAAUAAAAAAUUAAAAAAAAAAGUGGAAAUUAACCGUCAACAAGAACAUUAUUGACCACUACAGUAGUUCAUUUUGUCCUCUAAUAUUUGAUAGCCCAUGUGAUUAUCAAUGUUAUGAGACAGAGAGAGUCUUCGUAAUUCUUCUACCAUCUUUACUAUUGAUAACAAUUGAGAUUGAGGGGUUUAAGCUACCAAGUCUUCCCAUUAUCUAUCAAAUCAUUAGAUUAACCUGGAUAAAAUUAUUUUUAUUAAAAAAAUUGUAUUAAUUAAACUGAGUUUAGCUAGGUUAAUCAAAUUACUAAAAUUUUAAUUAGAGCCAUUGGGUUUUAAUUAAAUGUCAAUAUUUUUUCUAUUUCAAUUUAAAACUUAAUCCAAAACAAGUUUUAUAUUGCAAUAACUAUAAUAUAUAUCACUCUCAAAUGGUUGUUUAUUAUAAAAAAAUAAAGAGGUGAGGAGUUCACCGUGAAUUCGAGUAGUGAAUUGUUUUUUUAUUUUAAUCCUUAAUUAAAUUUCUUUAAUUUUCGAUUAGAUGUUAAUUUCUAUGCCUAAAUUGAAAGUUAAUUAUUCUAAUUUAUUGAGCAAUAAUAAAAUUAAAAAACAAGUGAUCAAACUUAAAAACAUGGGCUCAACCAGGUUAGAUAUGCAUAUCAUUUUGAAUUCAUUAUUUAAAUUUCUUUUUCCUUCUAAAAAAUACAUGACAUUAAAAAAAAAAAAUCUGAAUAGCGGCUAGCACAAGCCACAUUGGGUUUCUUGAAAUAAUUAAAUUCUAGUGUAUAUACAAAUAUUGAUUUUUAUUAAAGUUUCCCAAUUGUAUCACACCACGUCUCAAAAAACCCCAUAGUCACAUUCCCUCAUUCUUCCUCCCACUCUCUGUUUCUUGCUCUUGAGCCUGUUGAAUUUGGACGGGAUGAGCCCUUUUUUGUUAUUUUUUUUUUAAUUAUAUAUAUAUAUGUAUAUAUAUUAAAAGAACAAAGUUUGAAAUUUGUAAAUUCACAAGUGAAGAAUUGCAGUUCUGGGAAUUAAUGUGCUAAAUUAAAUAUUCACAAAGCAAAUAACUACAAUUCUGAUGCCUUAUAUGCUACAAAGUGCAAACAACACAAGAAAAAUGGCAACUCGUACUCUCGAGCAAGAAGUAUCACUGAAACAUUUUCCAAGCCAAGUUCAUACGCUCACUCAUAGUGGCUCUACCUUCGAAGCUGGGAAGCCCCCACUGUAAUCAAAGGCAUCCUUGCUAAAAAUGUAUGGAUGUUUGGCAUUUCCCUUGCUUGCAUCGUCGUAACUUGCCGAAGUGGAUGCAGAAUCCGCAUUAGGGUUCAGACCAGCAAGAUGCAAGAUAUUCUCAAUCUCUUUCACCACUUCACCCAUUGUUGGCCUGUCACUUCCGUUCUCUUCUACACAUUUCAAUGCAACGUCCACAAACUUAUCUAGACCUUUCAAUGUUGUGUCUAAACCAAUGCUUGAGUCAAGAAGUUCGCCGAGGUUGUACAAAUAUUUUGCUCUAUCCAAUGCCGUCUUUACCUCUCUCACCACGUACUUCCCCUUUUCUAUCGGCCUUCUUCCGGUUAAUAGUUCCAGCAUGACAACUCCAAAGCUGUAAACAUCACUCUUCUCUGUCAGCUGCUGGGUCAUGUAAUAUUCUGGAUCCAUAUAACCCUGGGGAAAAAAUGCAAUAAUUAAUACAAUCAGUUCUAUCAUCCAGUCCGGUCGUGCCAAAACUGCAUUUCAUUUUGUAAAAUCAAUCGUAGUUUAUGUAUUCUCGUAAUAUAACAUAUAACGAAUCGGCCUGUUUGCAUGCAGACACAGAGCCAAGAUGAUGAUUUUUUUCAUUUUAAUUCCAUAUACCAUAAGAACAGUAAGAAAUAAUGGUAUGACGCAUAUGGAGUGGAGGUAUGGAGGCACUGACCAUCGUCCCCUUCACUUGAGUUGUAACAUGAGUCAGAUGACCCGUUUCGCUGUCUCCCAUAGGCUUGGAGAGACCAAAAUCGGCAACUUUUGCAUUUAAACGCUCAUCUAGUAGUAUGUUGCUUGAUUUUAUGUCCCUGUGGAUAAUGGGAGGGUUGGCAAGUUCAUGCAGAUAGGCCAAACCUCUUGCUGCACCAAGGGCCACUUUUAGUCUCCUCACCCAAUCAAGCCUGAUUCCUGUCUUCCCUGCUUGGAUUGGAAAGAACAAAUAGGAGAGUGUGAGGGGUUAGUGUAGUUUUAUCUACAUUUAUAUUUUAGCUUCAUUACGCACAAGAAUUAAAGCAAUAGAGUUUUGUUAGAUGGCAUACACUAAAUUUUCAUGAAAAAAAGAUUGUAUGGUAGCAAAUUCCAAGUAUCAAAUCGAAGCAUUGAUAGCUCAUAGGUGCCGAUGAAAGUACCUGAUAGGCUUUCCAUGAGACUGCCAUUUGGAACAAACUCAUAUACGAGCAUUUGUUCACCUCUGUCGAAGCAAAAGCCUAUAAGGCUUACAACAUUUUUGUGGUGGACUCUGGAUAAAAGUUCAAUCUCAGUCUUGAAUUCUAGCCCACCCUGCAUCGAUCCUUGUUGAGCUCGUUUGAUGGCAAUUAGUUCUCCAGUAGGAAGAACUCCUCUAUAAACCUGUAAGGAUGUUAUCAUAUAUUAAAUUCCAUGUUUUUCAGAAACCAAAAAAGAACAAAAAAACAUCAAUGCGAGGGAUUCUUCUUCUGGCAAUGAACUAGAGAAAGCGUUUGGAUCCCUUCAACAAGACAGCAUCAGGGGAAAUUUUUUUUGAAAGAAUCAGUAAAUAAUUGAAGUGCAGAACAAAAAAGCAUUUCACUGGAAAGGUAAGAACAUCAGCAAGUGUAUUUUGAAAAUAUACUAUGAUUAAGCAAACAUUUUCCAUGCUAGUGUGAGAAAUGAGCCCAGUAAAAUUGAAUACUAACAGGCCUCUUUUUCACAGGUUUUUGUCGGGUGGAUUUAGGACAAAAUUGGCAUAGUUUACCAUGUAAAGAUUUUAGGAAACCAGACCAGAUGUAGUGAAGUUGUAAUAUAAGAAUCAUGAUUGACAAGAAUCAAGUGUUGUGCACCAGUUCCGAAGAGCUUGAGAUUAAGGGUUUUCUUGAUUUAAAUCUUUACGUGCAUCAGGAACAUGAAUAGUUCAAAUGCAAAUAUCCAUGCGCAGAUACAUAAGAUGUGGCUAGGCUUUCAGAGAGAAUCAGACUUACGUUUCCAUAACCCCCAGAACCAAUGUCAUUGGUCUCUGAGAAGUUAUUGCUGUAUUUCCUGAGCUCUUCAAAAGAGAAGUUUCUGGCUCCUUUUAAUUGAGGAACACCUCCGAUACUCUUGUUUGAUUCCCACUGUGCUGAAAAAGAAACAAAACAAAUCCAUGAUAUUCCAUAACUGUAAAUACCAAGUAAAUAAUCAAAGCCUUUUCAUACCAAAAGGAUUGUUUUGUUCAGUUGCCUUUUCUGCUCUCUUCUUUUGGCGAUGAGCAUAGAGCCCAGCGCCCAGCAAUAGCAGCAGGAGGACAGAGCCACCCGCCACAGCUCCAACGAUAACACCAGUUUGCGAUGAUUUUUUUGAUCCUGUAACUUCGUCUGGAUGAGUAGAAAGAGGGAGGAGAGAGAUGUUACAAUAAGAAAGGAGAAACAGUAGGAUAAGUUUUUCUUGUAGCUCUGUAUCAGUUAUGAGACUACCUGCGAAAUUUAGAUACGCAUCACCAAUAAAAAAGAAAGGUCCGAAUUGCGGUGGAGGCUUGAAAGUCUGGUUGCUCAGCGCAAAACCAAUACUUGAAACUCCUGUUCGAUUGAAACGAUCAUGGCCAAAUGGAAACACUUGCAGAUUCAAAACAAGGUAAGUAGAUGAAUCUUUUCUUGGAUGACUUAGAUUAACUGAAUCCACAGGAAGUUGAUGUAACUUGAAUGAGUCCAUCAGAGACUUUUCAAGAACAGUGUAAUAAGUGUUGUUUCCCAGGUUCGAGAAUGAAGGAGCUCUGAACUUUAGAAGUCCUGUGUAUGGAAGUGCACAUUUACAGUUCGGACUGGAAAUCUGAUUAGCAAAGCACAAAGAAGCUACACAGUUAUUUAGAGGCGUUGAAUAGGAAGAUUCGGUUUGGGGAACACUGCAGUAUCUUUCUGUCACUCCUGAUUCCUGACAAACUGGGUUGCCUACAAGUCUGCAAAAUUUUAACAGGUAAACAAGAUAAAGCUAGAAACAAGCAUAUAUCCUGGCAAUUCGACUUUCUCAAGAGUACUGAAAUGGUCUUGUCUAACAGUGUAAUGGAUACAAACAAAGAAUCUGGCUUACAUUACGCCCACUUUUUCUACUCCUGGUCUGUUUGUGAAGCCAGAAAUUUGAUUUUGUCGCAAAUCAAUCAAUGACAGUUGGUUUAUAGAGCUUGUUCCAAUAUCCAAUGUGCCAUUGAGCUUGUUAUUUCUUGCAUCCCUGUCACCAGAAGUCAAACAGCUAUCAACUAGCCAUGUCAUAGCAUGGAAAUAUCUAUCUAAACCCAUUUUUUAUGAAUCCAAGAAAGGAAUAAGCUAAUUUUCGUUGAACAGCUUGAAGCUGACUCUUACACAGUCUGCAAAUUGGAAAGGCUAAAGAAGUCAGAAGGAAUCUGUCCUUGAAGUUGUGUUCUCUCCAUCACCCUGCAAUGAGAAGGUAAUGGUAUCAUACUAAGACUGGGGUCUUAAUCUCUUUUUACGUUUUCAAAGUUCAAACAGCAACUAGGCACUCAUGCACUUGAUCAUUGUGAGCUUUGCAUGCACAAAGAACCAAGGAGAUAUAAUAUGGCAAGCCCUAUAACUGAAGCUAGAGAAACUUGCCAAGAUUUUCCAGCAAUGUAAAGGCCAGCACACACAUCAAUAUUAAGAGAAUGGAUGGUGAGAAAGAUAAGAAGGCUGCAUUAUGUCAGCAAAAGCAUGAGAAAAAUCAAGUCUUGUGCCUUUAUGAACAAAUGCAUAUGAAAUACGAGGUUUCGUGAAGUGGAUGCUAAUAGUAUUGUUUACACAAACAAAUCAAAUAGCACAUUUUAUGAAAACUACAAAGAGAAAAUAAAGCUUAGGAUGAGCAAAGCUAAAUACAAAAAGAGGAGUUAUGAAAGAGUGUAAAGUUGUGAUAAGCUUAAUGUACUGGUUCAUUCAUCUACAAGUUAGAGAUUACUCAAGCAGAUAUUACUUACUCAGAUUGGAGGUUAGACUCCCAAGUUUUUAUGAGUUCAACAGGAAUUUGUACCAAAAUAUAAAUAAAAAAUCAAUAAGAAGAUGGUACAGAAAGCCACAUGUUACAGAACAGCAGGACGAAUAUACAGCCCAAAUUAACAUUAUGCUGCUUAAAGGUGCAUGUGGAGAUAGGUGAUUAGAAAAUAAGAACUGAUAAUUUAUAGAGAAACUUUCUUGAGUUUAAGAGAAAAGAAAACAAAUGAUUGAUAUGCCAAUAGCAUUUCAACACGCACAUGGCUGUAAUCUGUCAAGUAAGUUAAUAUAAGAGCUCAUUCAAAGCAAGAUGAUGGAAAGCGUUUGUGCUUUCAAUGAGCUUAGGAAUGUAUAUGUCAUAGUUUAGGGAGAGCAGAUUUAGACUGA